rnacentral:lncRNA from 1 species
CUAGCUUGGAGAAGGAUGAACAUUGGAGCAAGAACAAGCAUGGAGAUGAUGGCAUGCGCAAGGGGAACAAGAACGGAGUUACAAGUGAUGAUUUCAGGACUUUGAAGCCACCAUAAUGAGUGCAUGAAGCCUUGGACGAAAUAUACAAGAUGCCACUUCAUAAAUUUCGUCCAGAAGCUAUUCUAGGUGCUGCGUCACCUUAUUAUUGGGCCAGGCCCAUGUAAUUUCGAAAUACAUUAGUAUAGGCUAUUUUUAGAGUCUGUAUGUGUGGGGAAACAAGAGAUAGGGUUAGUUUCGGACCCCUCCACCAAGGGCCACGAAAUUCACCCCCUCUUCCUCCAUAUAUACAGCCCUUAGGGCACCGUUUAGGCUUUGGGUUAUGUUUAGAUUAAAAGUUCGUCAUAGAUGCAACUUCGCGUACUUCGUUUGUGUUCAACGACCAGACAAAGGCAUUACAUAAUCCCACCUUGAUCAAUAAAGCACUCAUCUUAUAUUCGCAAUAUCCAGAUUGCAAUCUCAGUUUCUUGCUUGUUCUUCGUUUGCUCGCAGGAAACAGACCCUCGUGGUCAAGUUGAUCGUGCUCCGACGUGGUCAGUAACCUCUCGGAGUUGGUUUAGCGCUUGCUAAGGCGCGACGUCCUCGCACGUUCGUAGUCGGAUCGUCAAAGUCGACUUCCACCAAAGCGAUAUCCAUCAUCUCAUCGAAAGACGGGACACCUUUGCCUCUAUCAAGUGGUAUCAGAUUUCUAGGUUGCUCGGUGAGAUUUUACAGUUUUUCGUAGUUUAGAUCGAUUCGGUUCUUCAUACAUACAGUCCAGGAAAAAGCCACAAAAAAAUUAGGGUUAGUUCAUCAUAUCCGAACCAAUCUGAGCCUUUGCAUAAUCUUUUUAGGGUUUUGCUUUGCUGAAUUUGUGGUUGCAUCGUCGUGUCUAGUUGCUGGUCUUAGCGUCUAGUCAUUUAGACUUCCGAGUUCUGUCACAGUUUGUCACGCCGUCGCCGCACCAUCUUCAUCGUUGUUGCCAUAUACCACCACCGCUGCCAUAUCCCACCAAUGCUGCCUUAUACCACCACUGCUGCCAUAUUCCACCAGCGCUGCCAUAUACCACCGAUCCAUAUCCAUAUACCACCACCGCUAUCAUAUACCACCACCGCUGCCAUAUCCUACCACCAUAUAUUCACCACCAAUCCGAGUUCUUUUCGCAAUAGGUUUGUUUCCGAGAUCCAUCUAAUUUCCGAUUCGUGUUUCCUUGCCUGAGUAGGAUUCGAAAAAAAAAAGUCUGGAGACCCCCGGGCAGUUUUUAUACCAAAAUUUCGGCGACCAAAAAUAUUUUUCCCUAUCCUAUUUUUAGGUCCCCAGGAGUGUUUUGAGACAUUUGCCAUCAUAGUGAUUUUUUGUCGCACUUUUUCGUCGUCGCUGCCCUGAGUUCCGAAAAAAAAAUGUCAAAAAAUUUCGUGCCCAUCUUGUCAGUUUGACCUGAGAAGAGUUUUGAGACACUCGCCAUUAUAGUGAUUUUUUGCAAAAAAAAUAAAAAAAAUAAAGAGCAGCGCAAAAAAAAGAGUGAAUUCUUUUUUCCAGAGUGUGCUUUUCCCUUGUUUAAGUGCAGCACCGUGAUUUUGUUAGUGUUCUAGUCUCGCGUCUCUAGCACGGUAUAGCCUAGGACCAGCACAGUACCGUCGUUGAGCGUUUAUUCAACUUUGUAUCUCUGAAUUGAUUAUUACUGAUCCUUUUUGCUACCAUAUUGUUAGACUUCCCAGCUCCACAUACAUCUACGUCGUGUGUUUGACUCGUCCUGGUAGUUGCUCUAUCCAAGCUUUGAGAGUUUUGACUAUAACGAUUGUCGAUCACCACCUGCUGCUGGGUAAGAACUGGUAAGAAUUUGAGUUUUGCUUGACGGAUUUGUGACACCCACCACCACCACUUGUUUGUAAUAUGUAGGAUCAUAUUCUUGUGUGUUUCUAUUGCUGCUAACCAUGCCAGGAUCACAAGCCGACGAGAUUGACUGGGAGAACUUAACGAACAAGGAGCUUCAUGAUAAGUUUCAGCAAAUGAUGACUGAACAGGUGCAAGAUGUGCUGAACAAUUUUGAAGAGGCCAUGGAGAAGAUCACUGGCCUUGAGAAGACGUUCGAAACAAAGCUCGAUAACAGAUUUAAUGAACUGCUUGCGCGUCUUCCACCACCGGCUGCACCUGCCGCACCUCUGCAACAACAACAACAACAACGACGACGACUACCUCCACAUCGCGAAACAGCCCUCCAUCGAGCGAGCCGUGUUCCUCUUCAGCCUGGCCAAACUGUUGGUGCUGCUGUUGAUAAUUCUGUGGCUCCUGCUGCUGAUGGGGAGGAGGAUGAUUAUGCGGGAGAUUACGAGGAUGAGGUUGAUCGAAAUCAGAACUACGUGCAACCACAAGCACCACAACCACCAGGUCAUCCACAUGCAAAUAAUGGUAAUGUUAGGGCUCUCCCUCAGGUACGAGAUCAUGACUCCCUAAACUGAAAUUGAAUAUUCCACCAUUUGAGGGUAGAUAUGUUCCUGAUAUAUAUCUUACUUGGGAGUUAGAAACUGAACAACGAUUUACAUGUUUACAAUAUCCUGAGGAGAGAUGUGUUUCUGCUGCUGUUUGUGCUUUCACUAGUUUUGCAUGUGUUUGGUGGUCUGAACAUUGCAGAUUAUAUCCUAUUCCAGCUACUUGGGCUGCUUUGACAACCACUAUGCGUACUCGUUGGGUUCCACCAUAUUAUCAACGUGAAUUGCUUCAAAAAUUGCAGCGUUUGAGACAAGGAAAAAAUUCUGUAGAAGAAUAUUAUCAGGAAUUACAAGCUGGCAUGAUUAGAUGUGGUAUUGUUGAGGAGAAUGAACCUAUGCUUGCACGUUUUAUGGGUGGAUUAAAUAGAGAGAUUCAGACCAUUCUAGAGUAUAUGGAGUAUACUAAUAUCACUCAUUUAUUCCAUCUUGCUUGUAAAGCUGAACGUGAAGUGCAGGAUCGACAAGCAUUGGCGCGAACUAACUUUUCUGCAGGUCGACCUUCAUCAUGGACACCGCAUGCAUCUUCUACUUCCACUGCACCAGCACCUCCAUUAGGUGCCACCUCCACCCGUGAUACAAGAAAGCAGGCACAACCACUACUAUCUACCAAGAGCGCACCAGCCGGGCUUACACAGAGCUCUUCUUCUUCGAUGGCAUCAACUGGGCACACAAGUGAUAUUAUUUGUCGUCGUUGUGAGGGAAUAGGUCAUUAUGCGAGAGAAUGCAAAUCUCAGCGUGUGAUGAUUGCUACUGAGGAUGGUUGGUAUGAGUCCGCUAGUGACUAUGAUGAGGAGAUGUUGGCUCUUAUUACACGUGAAGAACACGGUGGAGAUGAUUCUGAUCAUGAGACGCAAUACAUGGCUCCUGAAGACGCUGACAAGUAUGAAUGUUUAGUUGCUCAACGUGUUUUGAGUGUGCAGGUUACACAAGCUGAGCAAAAUCAGAGGCAUAAUUUGUUCCAUACAAAGGGAGUUGUGAAGGAACGUUCUGUGCACGUCAUCAUAGACGGAGGGAGCUGCAACAACUUGGCUAGCAUGGAGAUGGUGGAGAAGCUCUCUCUCACCACAAGACCACAUCCACAUCCUUACUACAUCCAAUGGUUCAACAACAGCGGCAAGGUUAAGGUAACACGUACUGUUCGUGUGCAUUUGAGUAUCUCUACAUAUGCUGAUUACGUGAUUGUGAUGUGAUACCUAUGCAAGCAUGUUCCUUAUUACUUGGUCGACCAUGGAAAUUUGAUAAAAAUUCUGUCCACCAUGGUAUAAACAAUCAGUAUACUCUUGUUCAUAAGGAUAAAAAUAUUACUUUGCUUCCUAUGACUCCUGAUUCCAUUUUGAAAGAUGAUAUUAAUAGAGCUAAUAAAGCAAAACAGGAGAGGAAUAAGAGUGAAAAUCAGAUUGUGGCAAAAGAAUUUGAGCAACAAAUGAAGCCUAAUAAUAAACCAUCUAGUGUUGCUUCUGAAAUUAAAUUGAAAAGUGCAUUUCUACUUGCCACUAAAUCUGAUAUUGAUGAGCUAGAUUUUAGCAAAUCUGUUUGCUAUGCUUUUGUGUGCAAAGAGGCAUUAUUUUCAUUCGAGGACGUGCCUUCCUCUUUGCCCCCUGCUGUCACUAACAUUUUGCAGGAGUUCGCUGACGUCUUCCCAUAAGACGUGCCACCAGGAUUACCUCCUAUUCGAGGGAUUGAACAUCAAAUUGACUUAAUUCCCGGUGCAUCGCUACCCAACCGUGCACCAUACCAUACCAAUCCAGAGGAGAUGAAGGAGAUUAUGCGUCAAUUACAAGAGCUUCUCGACAAAGGUUAUAUACGCGAAUACCUUAGUCCUUGUGUUGUUCCUAUUAUUUUAGUGCCGAAAAAGGAUGGUAUAUCGCGUAUGUGUGUUGAUUGUAGAGGCAUUAAUAAUAUUACUAUUCGUUAUCGUCAUCCUAUUCCUAGGCUAGAUGAUAUGCUUGAUGAAUUGAGUGGCUCUACAAUAUUCUCCAAAGUUGAUUUGAGUAGUGGAUACCAUCAAAUUCGUAUGAAAUUGGGGGAUGAAUGGAAAACAGCAUUUAAAACUAAGUUUGGAUUAUAUGAGUGGUUAGUCAUGCCUUUUGGGUUAACUAAUGCACCUAGUACUUUCAUGAGAUUAAUGAACGAAGUUUUACGUGCUUUCAUUGGACGAUUUGUGGUAGUUUACUUUGACGACAUAUUGAUUUAUAGCAGAACUUUGGAGGAACAUUUAGAACAUUUACGUGUUGUUUUUAUUGCUCUACGUGAUGCACGUUUGUUUGGUAACCUUGGGAAGUGCACCUUUUGCACUAAUCGAGUGUCUUUUCUUGGCUAUGUUGUUACUCCACAGGGAAUUGAUGUUGAUAAAGUCAAGAUUGAAGCUAUUGAGAGUUGGCCUCUGCCCAAAACGGUCACACAAGUGAGGAGUUUUCUUGGUCUUGCUGGAUUCUAUAGGCGUUUUGUGAGAGAUUUCAGCACCAUUGCUGCACCUCUCAAUGAGCUUACAAAGAAGGAUGUGCCUUUUGUUUGGGGUACUGAUACGGGGCUAACCCGGUGUAGGCCGAUCUUUCACGUUUGGAGUGGGAUCCCUCGAAGAGCACGAAGAACACGGGAAAGAACGGGGAGAAAUCACAAGGGGAAACACUCAAGAACAAGUCCAAUCACACAUCCACUAGACAAUCAAACACACAAGAUCCACAAGGUACAUGAACAAUCAAAGGGAAACAAGAUACAUGGUAAAGUUCAUCUCCAAGAGGAGGUCUUGAUGAUAUCUUAGAUGGAUCUUCCCACGAGGGGGUCUUGAUGAUAUCCCGCAGGAUCUUCUCCUAGAUGGAGGUUUUGGCCUCCAAUGGAGUAGUGGUCUCUCUCUCUCUCAAGAGUAGAGAUAGGUAGGAGCAAAGCUCACAUACAAAUGAGCUAUCACUUUGCUAACCCUAACGAGAGGAAGGGGAUGAAGUAUAUAUAGGCUAGUCCACGAAGGGGUAAGUGAGGAGGGGAUACAUGGGCCUUUGGCCCGACUCUGCGCGCAGGUAGGCGCCGGAUGUCCGGGCUGGGGGGCUGAUGUACGUGCUCUCGUGAGAUGCCGGAUGUCCGGGGCGAUUGGUCGGAUGUCCGGCCCGAGCUGGGUGACCUUCUGGCUUCGGGUGCCUCACGCCGGAUUUCCGGGGGCAAUGCCGGAUGUUCGAGCUGUGGUGUGGCGCCGGAUGUCCGGGCACAUGGGUCGGAUGUCCGGCCGCUCAUGCUUUGGCCUUCUGUUGGUGCAGUUCGUGGGCGACUGCACAGGCGCCAGAUGUCCGGCCCUUGGCCCGGAUGUCCGGCCGCUGUAGCUUCAGCAGCAUCGUCUUCUUCCGUUGUUGCUUCCAGGAUUCCCUCGCGGAUGGUGUAGUUGUUCCUUGGUGCUUCUACUCCCCCUCGACAUCCUUGAAGCUCCGGCAAUACCUAUGCAUGCACACGGGAGAAGUGUCAAGUAGUAUACCAUCCUCGAAGGGGUCAAGUGAACAUGUGUAAAGGAGAAGAUUCACCUUUAUGUAUGAGAAGUAGAGGUCGCACGUGUCACUUGCCAAACGGACUCUUGACAUCGUGAUGACCAUAGGAUGCUCCGCAUCAUCCCCUCCCCCUUGUAAAAGAUCCAACCUCGGAUCAGAAACCAAAUCACCAUGGGAAAGAGAUGGUGGUGCCGUGUCGAAGUGGUCGGUCACCAAGCACUCAUCAUCUUGAAACUCGAAAUGGGCACUCUCCAAUGUCGCACCGUCUAGUGAUUCCUUCAAAAUAAGCAAGAAGAACAAACACUUGGAAAAACAAAUGUGGUCAGCUUUAGUGCAAAACCAAGCGUUCAAGAGGUGAUUCACCAAACAAGUUUCGUCAUCAAGAUAGCAUCGGGUGUGACAAAGGAUUGUGACAUGGCAUGUAAGCAUAUCAAUUGAGCACAAGCAAAGAUAUCAUGGGGACAAGGAUGCAAAUGUGAGGUAGAGAUGCAAGUAUGUGUGACAAGAGAAUAAGCAUCUACCUCAAGGUCAUAACAAACAAGCAUCAAGCACUCAAUGAAAGGUCUAUGGUAGGCAUAAGAAUUAUUCACAACACCAAAUAAAAUGAAGUGCCGAAACACAUGGGACAAGUGCAAGACAAUCCAAGCAUAACGUGCAUAGGGUGUGGUGAAUAUAGUGUGGCACUCAACACAAUAGAAAUAACAAUUGUUCAUCAUGUGUGAGGCAAUCAAGUCAAGCAUGUGACAAGCAAAGGGACAUGGCAUAUGUGAAGAAAUGAUAUUGGAGCAACCAACCAUAUGAUAGUAGCAACACAAGGUAUAUAUGUCAUGAAGCAUGGAAAUGUUGUAAUCAUAGGUGAAAGCAAUAUCUUGAACAUGCGUGCAAAUGGUGCAAGCAACACAUGAAGUACGAUCCACAAUAUCCAAGAUCAAGAAGGAUGACACCUUGAAAGCAUUUCCUUGUGCAUUCUUCACAUUGCCGAAGUGGUAGGAAGUAUGGUGUAGAAGCGAGUCGUGGUAGAAUCUAUGAGGCUCGCUCUCAAGAGCUCGAAUGGUCAACUCACGUGAAGUGGAAGUCGACACAAAAUCCAAGUAUCCUACACAUGCACAAAACAAAACAAAGAACGUAUGCGUAUGGUAGAUAAACACAUCAUCCAUCAUGAUGGUUCUCAUCUUUCGCACAAAACCAUUAGAAGCACAAGUGCAUGAAUAAUAUGACGCAACAGUGGCUAAAGUCAUGGCACUAGGUAUAUGGUGCAAAGAAGUAAGACAAGCAUGCUUCAGAAGAAUUAUGUCAAAAUCUCCAAAUAUAUGCGACAAUGCUAUGGGGGCAAUCUCAUGAGCAAGAAGAGAAUCAUUGUUACACUCAAUACAUGGCAAAUCUAGCAUGAGAGAGGCAACACAUGGAGAUUUAUGACAAGAAGCAAUAUGAUUCAUGUGCAAAGCAUAUAGAUGGUUGUCAUCAAACGCAUGAAAUGAGCAAUUAUAAUCAUUGGUGAUGAAACAUAAGCAAGCAUAGUAAUCAAGUCGUGCAAACUAGUGGAGCGAAGAUGCAACACACUAGAAGAAAUCAUGGCAAUCAUGUCAUGUGAGCAAAUAAUAGGCAUAGGGAAUGCACAUGACAUAUCGCAAGCACGGACACAAAGCAAGAUGAAAGUAUCAUCAUAGGAAUGGUGCACAAAAGGAACAUGGCAAUAACAAGCAAUAUCUCCACCAAGCUUGCAAAUACACAUACAAGUACUAGAAUCAAUCAUCAUGUGUAAUGCAAAGCAUGGGUCACAAAUGCAUGGCAAAUGCAUAGUAAAUAGCAUAUCAUGCAAAGUGAACAUGGAAAGAUGGGAAAAUGAUAUAUAUUGGACAAUAAGCCAUAACCAUGUGAGGGCCAUGUAGAAGAAAUGCGCGAAGUCUUUGCGCGAAAAGAGCGAUGGGAAAGACAAUCCAUGGGAUCCCAAAUCAUCGUUGCUCUCUAGAGCUCGUUUUGUCAACUCGUGGGAUUGCGAGGUUGACAAGUAUUCAUGGGUACCUACACAAAAAGGACACAAACCAAAGAAAUUGUGCGCGUGGUAAAUGUACACAUCAUCCAUCAUGAUGUGUAUGUGCACGUGUGAGUUAGCACAAGAUAAGCAAUGCUCGAAGAAAUUUGAUGCAUGGUAUAAGAACAUGUCAUCCAUCAUGAAAGAAUAGCUAUUGUGUAUGACAUGAUGGGGAUACAAAUUGAGAAUGCAAGUAUAUGGCACAUCAAUAGCGUGUUUAUUCAUGGGGAGCAUAUGGUGCACACAAGUAUUGGGAUCAUGCAAUGAAUGGGAUGGAUCAAAAUCUCCUAAAAUGUAUGAGGAAACUAUGGGGGUCUCCUCAUGAGCAAUAGCGGAAACAUCAUAUGGAGAAAAUGGACAACAUCCCAAACAAUGCAUAUCCGAAGCUAGGAUGUCAUGGCAUGGCAUAUAAGAUAAAUGAUGCAAAGGUAGCAUAUCAAUAGCAUCACAAGAAAAACAAAUGCCAAUAACCAUGGGCUUGUAAUCUAUGCCAUAUGUGCAAAUUGGGUUCAUUUUAAUGGCAUAUGCAUAGUCACUAUGAAGAGAUUGCAAAUAAGACAUAUGGUUGAUCUCAUGCAUAGCAUAUGACAAGUCAAGCGGAUUAUCAAACAUGAUGUGACCUAAAGAAUUGUCACAAGAAAUCCUAUGUAACAUGGCAUCACUACUAAUAGACUCCACAUGAGAAUCAUCAUAUUCAUCAUAAAUGGGCAAAUCAUCACAUGCGGAAAUCAUACUAGCAUGAAGCAUGGUACUAGGUGGAUCAACAUCAUGCAAGCAAUCAAUGUCGAGAAUGUCCACUAGUGGGACUAGAGCAUCACCGUCCCCUAUGUUACCUUUGUCAUUCCACUCAAGUGGUGUAGGUGAGGUGGGAAAGACCAAAUGGUGGUCAUCUUCAUCUUGAUGGAACCAUGUGAGGGGUGCAUCAUAUUCCGCCAUGGCCAUCGUCUUGUCCAAAGGGAGACGAAGUCGUCGAGGAUCGGCGCGUCAUAAUAAAUGGGACCUAGCACCAAAUGGGAAGACACAAUAGAGGUAGAGGUCAAGUUGUUAGAAAUGCAAAUGGCCUCACAUGACCUAUCAAAUAUCUCACUCUCUCUAUGUGGUGGUUCACUCACUCCCUCAAAGUAGGUGCACUCAAAGUCGCAUAUGGUGGAGUCACUCAUCUCACUCAAGUGGUGGGGGUUGUGGCUCUCCUCACAUGGGAAGUGGGGCAACUCGUCAUAUAUGGGGGUAGUGGUGAAGUCACUCUCACUCUCAAUAUGGUGGCAAAAGUCACUCAAGUCAUCAUACGUUGCCGUGGUCAAAGGGAAAAUCCCAUGCUUAACCAUCUUGUCAUCGUCGCCGUGGAUGAAGGCCGAAGAUGGUACAUCAUCACUCUCGCCCCCAAAGAUGGAACAUAAUCCUUGCUCUCCACCUUGUCGCUCGCCUCCAAAGCUUGGUCCUUGAGGGUCUCCAUAGUCAUACUCGUCGCCGCACCGUCUUGAAAAAGAGUCAUGGUAGACUCGGCACCAUCAAUACCACAAAGAGGGUUGGCGAUGAAGUCGAACUUGGGAGCAUCUUCUUGGAGCUCGUCGGGCUUGGACAUCUUGGUGGUACUAUCCUCAUGCUCGUUCUCAUGGAGCUUGGUCGCCGCAAAGUUUGCAUGGGGUGGAGAAGCCUUGGCCUUCAUGAGUUCUUGUUCUGCCUUGAGAGCACCAAUGUAGUAGUCGUCAAUGGACUUCUAGUUCUCGAGUAAGAUAGUCUUGGAGAUGUCAUUGUGCAAUCCCAUCAUGAAGUGGAACUUCAUCGAAAUGGGGUCGUCCACGCCGGCUCGUCAUAAGGCAAUCUUCAUCUCCUUGAAGUACGCGUCGAUGGACUUGGAUCCUUGGAUGGUGUUCUCCAAUUGGCGUCGAAUUUGUUCCGUGUAGGUUGUGAUAGAGACGAGGGUCCCGAUCUUUCGAUGAGAUGAUAACUAUCGAUUUGGUGGAGACGACUUUGACGAUCCGACUACAAACAUGAACGACGUUGCGCCUUAGCAAUCGCUAAACCAAUCUCCUGAGGUUACUCACGAUGCUGGAAGCACGGUCAGCCUGACCACGAAGGUCUAUUCCUGCAAGCAAUCGAAGAACGAGCAAGAAUAUGAUAAAGCAAUCUGAAUAUUGCAAAUAUAUAUGAAGUAUUGAUAAUGGUGGGGAUCCGGAAGCGGUCUUGGUCUGGUCGUUGGACACAAACGAAGUACACGAAGUUGCAAUGGCUAACUUUUAACUAAACAAAUCCCAAGGAAAAGCUACUAGAUGGAUCUACUUAUAUAGGAGCAAGGGGUGGCGGCCAAGGAGGUGGGAAGACGUCCCAAGGCAGCCUAAAACUAAAUCUAGGUCGUACAAGGCCAAUGGGCCCAAGUGGAGGUGAUGUAACACCUUUGGACUUGUAGUUUGACUCGGAUUCUGCUGCAGCAUCAGAUUGUUUCGUCCACAACUCAACGCUCCGGACGAAUUUGAAGGUGAUUCCAAUUGGGUUGGAAAGUGCACGAAAUCUAGUUUCCAACAAAAAAAGAAUCACCCAAUUUGGAGUCCGUAUGAAAAACUUGUGUGCGUUUUGAUUCAGGUAUGUCUGUGCAGUCCGAAUCUGAAUCCAGAACGUGAGAGACUUGGACUCUAUCUUCUCUUGGGCCAAAAGUGACGUGAGAGAACUUUUUGGACAGCAAAUAAACAUCUCUUUCUUCCUUAUCUUCAUAUGUGGAUUGUACAAAUGUCCCAUACACCUGCAAUUAGACAAAACACAAAACUGUGUGAAGUAUUUUUGUUCUGGAUAACAUAAAUAGAUUAUUGAAUAGUUUGCACUAGAGAUCACCUGACAAAUAUGCAUAUUUACAAUAUUUUUGGUCAUAUCCAAGAUAGUCAUGUCCUCAUCAUCCUCCCCUUCUUGAAAAUAAAGCCGUCCUCGGCGUUGCUUAAUCUGGAAUGUGGCUAACAAAAGAGACAAGGUGUACAUGUUGUAUAUGUAUAUGUCAUCCAUUUUUACUUCCCUUGAUUUUUGCAUAUAUGACACAUGAAUAGAUGAGUAACUUGCAUAGUUCAUAAAAUCUAAAGCCAAAAAAUUAGCACAAGAAGUAGAAGGCAUGAAAAUAUUGCAACUCAGUUUGCACAUAUAAGUGAAGCUCUUACUCAUUUCAAAAGAUUGACAAUGUUCAUCAUUAAACCAUCCCAACAUUGGUGAAUAAACCUUACUUGCAUCAAAUUUACAUGCUACAACAUGCUUAAAUAAGCAAACAUGCAAUAAGUCAUUCAACACAGAAUCAUCACCAAGAUUAGAGGUCAUAUCAAAAUGAUUAAACAUUGGUUCUUUUGCAUCAAUAGUUAAUUCAAUGGGUGCACUCAAAAUUGUUGGUAUUUCAGUUGUUUGAUCACAUGCCAAAGUCAAAUUAUCAACGUAGUCCUCUAAAAUAGGUGGUGUGAUCAAAGUAGUGGGUAGCUCAUCAGAUGGUGCAUUCAAAUUGACAAGGCAUUCAUCAUUCUCAUGUAGAGAUGGAAGAUCAGUACCUUUGUCAUUACCUCUUAUGAUCAACUCAGAUGAUGUAGCCACUCUCGGGGGCGAUGUGUCACAUGGUGGAGGUGAUGUAGUCCUGACAACAACGGAUGUGGUUGUCAUAGUAUGCCUAGUAGUUGAAGGAACAAUCAUAUCAACUCUUGGAAUGUGCACCGUGCGCUUGUUCUCCUCGUGGCCAACACGUCGUUUUAUUUCCUGUUCAGCUUUGCAAGCAAGAUGAAACAAAUUGUCCAUAGGAUAACACUCUUCAUGAAUUAGUAUCUCUUGAAUAUCACGGUUUAAUCCUCCCCAAAAUCUAUCCAUAAAAUCAUCUUCACUUUCUUCUAAAGAGGAAUGCAACAAGGUAGUUUGUAAAUCAUCAUAAUAUUUUGUUACAGUUUCACUACCUUGUUUUAAGUGUUGCAACUUCUUAAUCAUGUCACGAGUAUAAUAAGCAGGGACGAAAGUAUGUCGCAUGGCAAGUUUCAAAUCAUCCCAAGUAGUAGGUAUAUAAUCAGGGUGUAACCGACAAUAUUCACUCCACCAAACCAAAGCAUAACCAGUGAAAGAACCAACCGCAACCUUAACCUUUUUAUGUUCAUUGAAAUUAUGGGAAGCAAAUAUAUUUUUUAUGUCGAACUCCCAUUCAAUAUAUAAAGCAGGUUUAAAACGGCCAUUAAAUGGUGGUAUAGAUACAUUAACCUGAUCACGUGCAUUUGGAUGUUUGUGCACCUCUCGUGACGGUUGUGGUAUUUGCAAAGGUGGUGGCACGUCUCCCGUGAUCGACAAAGCCCAUGAAUUGACUCUGGAUCCUGUCAUGAUUAGUAGAACAAGAAACAAAAUCUAAAAAUAAUGUUCCUAUAACUACUAGGAUGUGGUGGUAAAACGCUCACAGUAAAGCAAAUAUCAAUGUCUUACAAGUUCUUACCAUGCAGCAGGCGGUGAUCGGCAACCAGCGAUGUCAAGUAACUCCGAAUAUUGAGUAAAGCGAUUGCCAGGGGAGCGUACGUAUAUACGGUGUAGAAAUAUGUGGAGCUGGGUUGGCUAUAUAUGGUAGCAAAAGAUUAGCAAUAAUCAAUUCAAAGAUGCAAUGUUGAAUAAACGCUCAACGACGGUACUGUGCUGGUCCUAGGCUAGACCGGACUAGAGACGCGAGCCUAGAACACUAAUGAGGUCACGGCGUAGCACAACUAGCAUCAAUGAAGGAUACUAAGUAGCUCUUGACAGCAAGAUAUAAGUGAAAAUCACAACGGCAGUGAAGAUAAUGAUGAAAAACAACUGCCAAGCAGGAUAUACAACAACUCUCUCUCCAACUUUCCUCUUGAAAAGUUUGAGACAAUUUUCUGAUAAAUUCUUUCAAAGAAUGCUACUAACUCAAGCUUUCCAAUGUGAUAGAGGCGGGGUGUCCCGAUCUUUCGAUGAGAUGAUAACUAUCGAUUUGGUGGAGACGACUUUGACGAUCCGACUACAAACGUGCACGACGUUGCGCCUUAGCAAUCGCUAAACCAAUCUCCUGAGGUUACUGACGAUGCUGGAAGCACGGUCAGCCUGACCACGAAGGUCUAUUCCUGCAAGCAAUCGAAGAACGAGCAAGAAUAUGAUAAAGCAAUCUGAAUAUUGCAAAUCUAUAUGAAGUAUUGAUAAUGGUGGGGAUCCGGAAGCGGUCUUGGUCUGGUCGUUGGACACAAACGAAGUACACGAAGUUGCAAUGGCUAACUUUUAACUAAACAAAUCCCCAGUAAAAGCUACUAGAUGGAUCUACUUAUAUAGGAGCAAGGGGUGGCGGCCAAGGAGGUGGGAGGACGUCCCAAGGCAGCCUAAAACUAAAUCUAGGUCGUACAAGGCCAAUGGGCCCAAGUGGAGGUGAUGUAACACCUUUGGACUUGUAGUUUGACUCGGAUUCUGCUGCAGCAUCAGAUUGUUUCGUCCACAACUCAACGCUCCGGACGAAUUUCAAGGUGAUUCCACUUGGGUUGGAAAGUGCACGAAAUCUAGUUUCCAACAAAAAAAGAAUCACCCAAUUCGGAGUCCGUAUGAAAAACUUGUGUGCGUUUUGAGUCAGGUAUGUCUGUGCAGUCCGAAUCUAAAUCCAGAACGUGAGAGACUUGGACUCUAUCUUCUCUUGGGCCAAAAGUGACGUGAGAGAACUUUUUGGACAGCAAAUAAACAUCUCUUUCUUCCUUAUCUUCAUAUGUGGAUUGUACAAAUGUCCCAUACACCUGCAAUUAGACAAAACACAAAAGUGUGUGAAGUAUUUUUGUUCUGGAUAACACAAAUAGAUUAUUGAAUAGUUUGCACUAGAAAUCACCUGACAAAUAUGCAUAUAUGCAAUAUUUUUGGUCAUAUCCAAGGUAGUCAUGUCCUCAUCAUCCUCCCCUUCUUGAAAAUAAAGCCGUCCUCGGCGUUGCUUAAUCUGAAAUGUGGCUAACAAAAGAGACAAGGUGUACAUGUUGUAUAUGUAUAUGUCAUCCAUUUUUACUUCCCUUGAUUUUUGCAUAUAUGACACAUGAAUAGAUGAGUAACUUCCAUAGUUCGUAAAAUCUAAAGCCAAAAAAUUAGCACAAGAAGUAGAAGGCAUGAAAAUAUUGCAACUCAGUUUGCACAUAUAAGUGAAGCUCUUAUUCGUUUCAAAAGAUUGACAAUGUUCAUCAUUAAACCAUCCCAACAUUGGUGAAUAAACCUUACUUGCAUCAAAUUUACAUGCUACAACAUGCUUAAAUAAGCAAACAUGCAAUAAGUCAUUCAACACAGAAUCAUCACCAAGAUUAGAGGUCAUAUCAAAAUGAUUAAACAUUGGUUCUUUUGCAUCAAUAGUUAAUUCAAUGGGUGCACUCAAAAUUGUUGGUAUUUCAGUUGUUUGAUCACAUGGCAAAGUCAAAUUAUCAACAUAGUCCUCUAAAAUAGGUGGUGUGAUCAAAGUAGUGGGUAGCUCAUCAGAUGGUGCAUUCAAAUUGACAAGGCAUUCAUCAUUCUCAUGUAGAGAUGGAAGAUCAGUACCUUUGUCAUUACCUCUUAUGAUCAACUCAGAUGAUGUAGCCACUCUCGGGGGCGAUGUGUCACAUGGUGGAGGUGAUGUAGUCCUGACAACAACGGAUGUGGUUGUCAUAGUAUGCCGAGUAGUUGAAGGAACAAUCAUAUCAACUCUUGGAAUGUGCACCGUGCGCUUGUUCUCCUCGUGGCCAACACGUCGUUUUAUUUCCUGUUCAGCUUUGCAAGCAAGAUGAAACAAAUGGUCCAUAGGAUAACACUCUUCAUGAAUUAGUAUCUCUUGAAUAUCACGGUUUAAUCCUCCCCAAAAUCUAUCCAUAAAAUCAUCUUCACUUUCUUCUAAAGAGGAAUGCAACAAGGUAGUUUGUAAAUCAUCAUAAUAUUUUGUUACAGUUUCACUACCUUGUUUUAAGUUUUGCAACUUCUUAAUCAUGUCACGAGUAUAAUAAGCAGGGACGAAAGUAUGUCGCAUGGCAAGUUUCAAAUCAUCCCAAGUAGUAGGUAUAUAAUCAGGGUGUAACCGACAAUAUUCACUCCACCAAACCAAAGCAUAACCAGUGAAAGAACCAACCGCAACCUUAACCUUUUUAUGUUCAUUGAAAUUAUGGGAAGCAAAUAUAUUUUUUAUGUCGAACUCCCAUUCAAUAUAUAAAGUAGGUUUAAAACGGCCAUUAAAUGGUGGUAUAGAUACAUUAACCUGAUCAUGUGCAUUUGGAUGUUUGUGCACCUCUCGUGACGGUUGUGGUAUUUGCAAAGGUGGUGGCACGUCUCCCGCGAUCGACAAAGCCCAUGAAUUGACCCUGGAUCCUGUCAUGAUUAGUAGAACAAGAAACAAAACCCAAAAAUAAUGUUCCUAUAACUACUAGGAUGUGGUGGUAAAACGCUCACAGUAAAGCAAAUAUCAAUGUCUUACAAGUUCUUACCAUGCAGCAGGCGGUGAUCGGCAACCAGCGGUGUCAAGUAACUCCGAAUAUUGAGUAAAGCGAUUGCCAGGGGAGCAUACGUAUACACGGUGUAGAAAUAUGUGGAGCUGGGUUGGCUAUAUAUGGUAGCAAAAGAUUAGCAAUAAUCAAUUCAAAGAUGCAAUGUUGAAUAAACGCUCAACGACGGUACUGUGCUGGUCCUAGGCUAGACCGGACUAGAGACGCGAGCCUAGAACACUAAUGAAGUCACGGCGUAGCACAACUAGCAUCAAUGAAGGAUACUAAGUAGCUCUUGACAGCAAGAUAUAAGUGAAGAUCACAACGGCAGUGAAGAUAAUGAUGAAAAACAACUGCCAAGCAGGAUAUACAACAACUCUCUCUCCAACUUUCCUCUUGAAAAGUUUGAGACAAUUUUCUGAUAAAUUCUUUCAAAGAAUGCUACUAACUCAAGCUUUCCAAUGCAAAAAGAAUCACUCAAUUCCGAGUUAAUAUGAGGAGUCAAAGAAUUCUAAAACUGGCCUGAAAAAUUGGAACAAGCUGUGUUCACAAACUUCGGAGGGCAAAAAGACCUAUUUAGAAGCCGAUUUUGAGGUGUCAAAUAUUGAAAUAGCUUCUGCAACUAUUUAGAUGUGGCUCGUCGCUAGCUUCAAUUUGAGUACUCACGGAGCCAAAACGGACUUCGCAUGAGGAAGAUACACCUGUUUUACUGAACAGUGCGAAAAACAGAUUCCAAUCCGAAUUCAGGUACGAGAUUGAUUCUAGAUAGAUCCAAUUUUUUUUCUUCUCUCUUUUUUUUCUCACGCUUUUUUUUCUUCUCUCUCUUUUUCUUUUUUUUUCUUUUUUUCUCUUUUUUUUCUCUAUCUUCUUUUUUUUUCUUUCCAAGACAAACUAGAUAAGAUGCAGAUUGGAUCAGGCGAAGAUGUGAAUAACCUCAACUAUGAUUAUGACAAGGAACAGUGCGUAGCAUGUGGUGGAAAUUAAUAGAUGGGAUGGUGGACAGCGGAAGGGAUAAUGAUGCAGCGGCGGCGUGACUAAUGUGAACAGAACUCGAAACUCUAAAGGAACUAGACGCUAAGACCAGCAACUGACACGACGAUGCAACCGGUAAUUCAACUAUGCAAGCAAUGAAUAGAAAAUUGCAAAGGCUCAGACUGGCUUGGAUAAAGGAUGAACAGAUCUAACUUUUUUUGUGUGGCUUUUUCUUGGACAAUAGGUAAGAAAAUAAAUCUAAUCUAGGAAAACUGGAAAUUCUCACCGAGCAACCUGAAAACUGAUACCACUUGAUAGAGACGAGGGUCCCGAUCUUUCGAUGAGAUGAUAACUAUCGAUUUGGUGGAGACGACUUUGACGAUCCGACUACAAACAUGAACGACGUUGCGCCUUAGCAAUCGCUAAACCAAUCUCCUGAGGUUACUCACGAUGCUGGAAGCACGGUCAGCCUGACCACGAAGGUCUAUUCCUGCAAGCAAUCGAAGAACGAGCAAGAAUAUGAUAAAGCAAUCUGAAUAUUGCAAAUAUAUAUGAAGUAUUGAUAAUGGUGGGGAUCCGGAAGCGGUCUUGGUCUGGUCGUUGGACACAAACGAAGUACACGAAGUUGCAAUGGCUAACUUUUAACUAAACAAAUCCCAAGGAAAAGCUACUAGAUGGAUCUACUUAUAUAGGAGCAAGAGGUGGCGGCCAAGGAGGUGGGAGGACGUCCCAAGGCAGCCUAAAACUAAAUCUAGGUCGUACAAGGCCAAUGGGCCCAAGUGGAGGUGAUGUAACACCUUUGGACUUGUAGUUUGACUCGGAUUCUGCUGCAGCAUCAGAUUGUUUCGUCCACAACUCAACGCUCCGGACGAAUUUGAAGGUGAUUCCAAUUGGGUUGGAAAGUGCACGAAAUCUAGUUUCCAACAAAAAAAGAAUCACCCAAUUCAGAGUCCGUAUGAAAAACUUGUGUGCGUUUUGAGUCAGGUAUGUCUGUGCAGUCCGAAUCUGAAUCCAGAACGUGAGAGACUUGGACUCUAUCUUCUCUUGGGCCAAAAGUGACGUGAGAGAACUUUUUGGAUAGCAAAUAAACAUCUCUUUCUUCCUUAUCUUCAUAUGUGGAUUGUACAAAUGUCCCAUACACCUGCAAUUGACAAAACACAAAAGUGUGUGAAGUAUUUUUGUUCUGGAUAACAUAAAUAGAUUAUUGAAUAGUUUGCACUAGAAAUCACCUGAAAAAUAUGCAUAUAUGCAAUAUUUUUCGUCAUAUCCAAGGUAGUCAUGUCCUCAUCAUCCUCCCCUUCUUGAAAAUAAAGCCGUCAUCGGCGUUGCUUAAUCUGAAAUGUGGCUAACAAAAGAGACAAGGUGUACAUAUUGUAUAUGUAUAUGUCAUCCAUUUUUACUUCUCUUGAUUUUUGCACAUAUGACACAUGAAUAGAUGAGUAACUUGCAUAGUUCAUAAAAUCUAAAGCCAAAAAAUUAGCACAAGAAGUAGAAGGCAUGAAAAUAUUGCAACUCAGUUUGCACAUAUAAGUGAAGCUCUUGUUCAUUUCAGAAGAUUGACAAUGUUCAUCAUUAAACCAUCCCAACAUUGGUGAAUAAACCUUACUUGCAUCAAAUUUACAUGCUACAACAUGCUUAAAUAAGCAAACAUGCAAUAAGUGAUAGAGGCGAGGGUCCCGAUCUUUCGAUGAGAUGAUAACUAUCGAUUUGGUGGAGACGACUUUGACGAUCCGACUACAAACGUGCACAACGUUGCGCCUUAGCAAUCGCUAAACCAAUCUCCUGAGGUUACUGACGAUGCUGGAAGCACGGUCAGCCUGACCACGAAGGUCUAUUCCUGCAAGCAAUCGAAGAACGAGCAAGAAUAUGAUAAAGCAAUCUGAAUAUUGCAAAUAUAUAUGAAAUAUUGAUAAUGGUGGGGAUCCGGAAGCGGUCUUGGUCUGGUCGUUGGACACAAACGAAGUACACGAAGUUGCAAUGGCUAACUUUUAACUAAACAAAUCCCAAGGAAAAGCUACUAGAUGGAUCUACUUAUAUAGGAGCAAGGGGUGGCGGCCAAGGAGGUGGGAGGACGUCCCAAGGCAGCCUAAAACUAAAUCUAGGUCGUACAAGGCCAAUGGGCCCAAGUGGAGGUGAUGUAACACCUUUGGACUUGUAGUUUGACUCGGAUUCUGCUGCAGCAUCAGAUUGUUUCGUCCACAACUCAACGCUCCGGACGAAUUUCAAGGUGAUUCCACUUGGGUUGGAAAGUGCACGAAAUCUAGUUUCCAACAAAAAAAGAAUCACCCAAUUCGGAGUCCGUAUGAAAAACUUGUGUGCGUUUUGAGUCAGGUAUGUCUGUGCAGUCCGAAUCUAAAUCCAGAACGUGAGAGACUUGGACUCUAUCUUCUCUUGGGCCAAAAGUGACGUGAGAGAACUUUUUGGACAGCAAAUAAACGUCUCUUUCUUCCUUAUCUUCAUAUGUGGAUUGUACAAAUGUCCCAUACACCUGCAAUUAGACAAAACACAAAAGUGUGUGAAGUAUUUUUGUUCUGGAUAACAUAAAUAGAUUAUUGAAUAGUUUGCACUAGAAAUCACCUGACAAAUAUGCAUAUAUGCAAUAUUUUUGGUCAUAUCCAAGGUAGUCAUGUCCUCAUCAGGUUGGAGGCACAAACUCUCGCCGCAAAGCUCUCUUCGUCUUGGGCCAACUCAUGUCGUAGUACUCCAAAGGUGUGUGAAGCCACCAUGCCGAGGCGUAGUCAUGGAAGUUUCUUGUGGCGCACUUCACUUGAUCUUUGGGAGGAACUUGAUGUAGCUUGAGGUAGUCGUCCAUCAAGAGCUCCCACUCGAGGUACUCCUCGGGUUCUUGAGUCCCAUAGAAAGGAAUCGCAUGGUCGAUGUCGAGGUCAUAGUAGCUCGUGGAAGUCGCGGACUUGAGCUUGGGGAGCUUCUCUUGAGCGUAGUAUUGGGGUGCUUGUUGGCGAAGAUGUCGUAUGUCUGUAGGCGAAGAUGCCUUGAAGUCGCUUGGCGAAGAUGCCAAGGGAGAUGGUGAAGUCAUUGAGCGGUUGUUGAUGUAGAGCUCUUGACCUUCACUUUCUUUGUGGUGAUGGUGUCGAUGCCGAUGUGAUCUUGCCGGAGAUGGUAGCUCGGAAGCAUGUUCUCUUGAGCGUCUUCUCGAAGAUGAGGAAGAUCACUUGUAGUACUUGAUGAGGGCUUUGAUCUCCUCCAUUUUAGCUUGCAUCUUGGCAUCGGAGUUGUUGUUCGUGGCAUCGAACUCGUCGUUGUUGUCGUAGACCGAAGGUGAAAUGCCUUGCCUAUCCAUCACAAGACUCGAGUAGAGGUGAGUAGGAAAUGAGAUAAACAAUACCAAGUUACCUUUUCCCAAAGUUCAGGAUGUAUCAGGGUUUCACUCAAUGUGAGAUGAAAGAAUACUGGAAUUGGUACCGGACUUGUUCACUCACACCUAUCAAGUAAAGCUUAUGGUGUAGCUCAGUGAGGAUAGUGGCACAAAAAUUUGAUGCAAAAUGUUAGCAAGAGUCAAUAAUGUUGAAAGAGAUUCAUAAAUUCGCAAGCGAUACAAGUAGACCAAUAGCAAUAUGUGGCACACGGAAACACACACGCGGAUAGAUAAAUGGGGUCGUGCAACCAAGGAAUGAGCACAAAAUGUGGAAUCCACGGAAAACGCUCGUGUUGCACAACCCAAGAGAGACGCUAGCACGAUUGCUCAAUAGGCGGAUACGACACUUGUGCACAACCUAUAAGAUGCAUAGUGGAUAAACUUUCUAUCCCAAGUAUGCUAUGUAUGUAUGGUUCCCGGUGUUUUGCACACAAUGAUCCAAAAUGAUCAAGUAUGAUAACAUAUGAUAUAUUGUGAUGCUAUAGAUAUUGCUUACAAGCUCUUUGCUCACUCUUUUUCUUUUCUUAAAAGCUUAUUCUCUCUUCUUCUUUUUUGUAUGGCCAAUUUUGCACAACUAGUAAAUGUGCACGUGCAACGCACGUCUCAACCAAUGCACAUGAAAUUCAUGUGAUAGUUCAUAUGCUGGAAAAUUUAGAAAAUAGAAGGAACGAUUAUGAAGAAACCAUUGAGCAACAAUACGUAAUAUUGAUGCACAACACCAACUCAAAUUGCCUCUCCAAGUUUUGAAGUGAAAGCACAAGUAUGUAUAUAAAUAUUUUUCCGGAAAUAGCAUAGUGCACAGAAAUAUAUCGGAAAAAAAUGUUGCAAGGGGCAUACCAUUGUUUUAGCCAUGAAAGGAACCAACAAAGAAAUCAAAAUAUGUAACAAUGUUUGGCACAACUGUACUCUCAUUUUAAGCUUGUGGGGCUACAACAAAUGUCGCCUGAAAGCAUUGUUCGGACGUGCAACUCAUAUUUCUCUUGCCCCAUGAACUCUUUCGCCCAACUUCGGCCAAGCCAUGCAGCGGGGAAGGAUCCAUUGACGUUGUCAGAACUACAUCUAGAUUAUUCUUCCUCAUCAGUAUUAUGAUAAACAAUUUACAACAACAAUGACUAUAUAACGGAACAAAUAUGUACAAUGAUAGUACAGAAUCUAGAAUAAGGACCAUUGAUCAGAUGUUGGAGCAUCAACAUUGAUAGAAAAAGCAAAUCCAUGCAUGUCACAACAUGCUACUUACAUUUCCCAUGUCAUGGAUACAAUCUUAAUAUCUCAAAAAAGAUUAUAGAUAGAUUAGAAUUGGAAAAUGAGGUGAUCCAGAAAUUGGAUAUUUCACUGGCCGAGGGCAAUCUCCAUUAGUACAAAAUCAGUAUGUUCAUACUCAACUUGUAUGAAAGAACUAUAAUACUUGUUGUAUGGGUCCAAUUAGGAGUGGUCAGAAAUUAGGAGAAGCUUCCUAGAAAUUUGAAUGCAGAUUUGAGGCUUGGCAUUUUUGAUGGCUGAGUAAAAAAACAUUUGAAACAAGGCAAAAGACUUGCCAUUUUCAUUGAUUAAGAAGAGAAUUACACGGUUAAUUGACGGAAAACUGGGCUAAAACCGAUACAUCCCAACCCAUAUGACAUGGGCACCACCGGUCAACCUGGCCGCCGACAUGGCACACAGAGCUGCAAAGAAGAAAGACAUCCGUAGAGGAGUAGCAAUAUAUCCAGCGGGCGGGCGAAGUGGUGAGGGUGUCGGCAAUAUAUCCAGCAGAGCUAUAGUGUGAGAUUUAGGGCUACGAUGAUUCUAGACUAAAUUUUCUUCUCAUAUUAUUUUUUACUUGGGCACGUUCAGUUUUUUGGUUAAUUCACUACCCCUAAAUGCUCCGACAAAUUAUCAUAAGCAGAAAACAUGUACUUCCUCCGUUCCUAAAUGCAGGUCUUUUUAAAGAUUCCAAUAUGGACUAUAUACAGAGCAAAAUUAGUGAAUCUACACUCUAAAAUACAUAUAUAUAAAUCCGUAUGUAGUUCAUAUUGACAUCUCUAAAAAGACAUAUUCAGGGACAGGGGGAGUAUAUCUGUAAGCAAGUUGUAAAAGAAAAAAAAACAUAGUCGUAUCAUUUCAAAGAAUGUUACAUGCCAAUAGGUUAUAAUUUUGCUAUUGUCAUCAAAUGCAUAUCAUCAAUGUCAGUACAAUCAAAUAUAAUGGCAUGUCAACCCGGAAUAUACAAGGUCAAUCAUAUAGAUGCAACAAUGCAAGAAGAGUUACUAAUCAUUGCAUUCUAGUGGUUGCAUUGAGCAUCAAUACUCAUUAUGUACAAACAAUACAACAUAGGAAGAGUGAGAUGAUAUAACUAAUAAAGUUCAAAGAAUGUACUGCUGACAAAGAUCCUUUACUUGAUAAAGGCAGUAGUCGCUUGAGAAGUAGUCCUUCCCGAUAAAGAUGAUCUGCUAAUGAUCCAUAUGCAUGUACAUAUUUUUAACACGCGCCGAUCUGCAAAUCUAUGUGAGUAAGCUUGUGCCAAUUUAUUUUGUAGGAGUUGUGGGCAGCCCAAGUGCCUGGGAGAGCGCUGCCACUAUUGUAGCACUUUCCGGCUUGCCGGCGUGGUGUAGAAGGCUGAAGGAUGUAUGGCUGCACUGAAUCAGGAGGAAGUUUCAGUGUCUUGUGCAUUUCGUACCAGUUUUCAGAUCCACGUCGGGGCCUUGUUGGGGUUUUGCACUCACAUAUUAUGAGUCCAACAUCAGCUCACAUCAGAGAAAAUUCAGUUGAGCAUGAUCAUUAAUUUCUUUUUACAUUGUUAAGUAGUAUGAUCAUUACUUAGUCAUAGUGUUUCAUUACAAAGACUUCCAGAUGUUGUCGCUUGCCAAAAGGAAGAUAUCGUGUCUUUACCACAAUAGAAUCUGAAUAAUUUAUUCCAGUUCAGCAUAGGAUUUUCUGUCAUGUUAUUUGUGAAACACAACCUAAUAAGAACUAAAAGCAUAGGACUUUGUCAUGUUAUUUGUGAAACACAAAGGAAUAUGUUCCAAACCUGAAAGUUGGAUGGGCCGGAGUUCCUUUGCUGAAUUCAGUGUAGGCGUAGUGAUGUGGUGUCACGCUGCUGCGUCCAGGCCAUGGUGUCCGCGUGAGGAGUGUGGCGGCCAUCACGGCAGCGUUGGGUCAGUAAAGUCCUGGAAUAGAGUGUGACACCGCAUUUCAGGCAAUGGGUCUAUGUGAGGGAUGAUGAAGCAACAAUACAAAUACUAAUCGACAUAUAGUACAUCUAUUUUCACUAAUGUGAUGGCACAACCCAGAGCCUACAUGUGUCUCAAUUCUGAAAAUUGUGAAGUGUGUAAUCAGAACACUAUUUCAGUUUGGUAGGGCGAUCCAAACAGUGUACCCCCAUCCAUCCAUUGUUAAAUGAUUGUCUGCUCAUGAAAACCUGAGCAUCGAGAAAGAAGACUAAUUGGAGACCAUGGAGCUGAUCUUAUACUUGAAUAGUGAGUGCCUGACUAUCAUGGCUAUCUCUAUUUACGGAUGUUUAAAGGGAUUGGAUACAUCAGAGCGUCUUGAAGCAAACACAAGAGAGUGUCAUACUCAUAAAUUUUCAAGAAUGCGGGAUCGAUAAAAUUGGUGUGCCAUGUUAUUUCUAGGGAAUAAAUCCCUGAGCUUUUGGGACAAAAAAUCAGUUUAAAAAGGGGUGAUGCCAGCAAGCUUAUGUGACCUUCUCGGUCUAGAUUCUCUGCUCAAACCUGCUGAUGCACUUAGAUGUUAGAAAGAGAGAUUGGAUGCAGAGGGCGUGAUGGGUCGUACCGCGGCGACGCCUUGCUGCAAGUCUGGAUUUAAUAGGCGUAUUCAUGAAGAUGCAGCGUGUAGGGUGGCCGCUGACGCAUACACAUACGCGCGGAUGCUCCACGCUGUGGCUGCGCAGCCAGGAGCCGCAUCGCCGUGGGCGGAGGGGUGGGCCAUGCACGCACUCGCCAGUGUGGACUGCUGCCUUGUCCGGUUGGACGCCCAGCUCAGCCUGGUCGAGCUCCUCGUUCCAGCGCUGGACGCCGGACGUCGUCCUGGCCGUCGUCGGUCCGGCGGACAUGGCAUGGUGGGUUGGCGUCGGGGAUAGCCGGAGAGAAGAGUUGUGGCCUUCAUCUGCAGCCGUAUGCUGGCGGCGGCGGCGAUCUAAUAACCCUGGAUCCAUCCCUAGGGUACGAUGGACAUGGAAUAGGGAGGAGCGGUAUGUGGUCUUUACAAUCGCUGGGAUAGGAGCUGAUUACGCUUUCAUGGAACACGUAUUAGGCGGACGAAUCUUUGGGAGAGUAUACGUCGGGCGGACUGUAAUUGCUAAUUGCUAACCUCAUAUUAAUCUAGGCUAUUAGAUCUAAUUUGAUGGGAUAAUCAGACGGUAAUAAUCAACCGGUGUACACUUAACGGGGUGUCUCUAAGAAAGAAGAUGUUUGCUUGUUUAAUAGUAGUAGAGAUGCACAAACCAAGAUAGCAAUUGUGUAUAUGCGGGAACAAACUUGAGACACAAGAUAUGAUAUGAUGAUACCAAAUGAUAUGGUGUAUGCAAUGGAUGGUGUAGAUCACUAAUGUGCACAAGUAAUGUGGCUCGGCAAUACUCAAAUGGCUAGUCUCGAUAGGCAAGUAACGCAAAAUGGGCUAGGGGUUAACAAUGCAAUUGCAAGGGAAUAUACAAUGGUGUCGUCGAGGUUACCGUCCUUUGCGAUGAUGAAUGGCGGUGUUCUUGAUGUAGAUACCAAGAUGAUGGAGACUCGUCGCUAAGUAGCCGAAACACCUUAGGAAAUGGAAAAAAACGCGAACUCAAAAUCUCAAGGACAAAAGUCAAAUGGUGGUAGCGGGAAAGCGGUGGUGGUUUGCACUCGGCAAUGUGGAAGUGGAAUGAUGGCUAUACAUGUGUCCGAGUUGAAGUUGCCGUCCCUGAGUAGCCGAAACACCUUAGGAGACACAAACCACAACUCAAAAAAGCUCAAACAAAAUUGGGUUAAGUUGGGUGUCGGAAGUGUAUGGUGGGCACGUCUAUGCGGAAAUGGUGGUGGUUGAUGAAGAAGCAAUUGUCCCUAAGUAGCCGAAACACCUUAGGAGACUCGAAUCACAACUCAAACAACCACUAAUGCUAUAUGGAACAAAUUGGGUUAGGUUGCGGAAGUCGGUGGUGGCUAUGCGGAUGAUAUGGUGGAGGCCCUAGACAAACUUGCCAAAUUUUCAAAAAAUUGAUGAAGUCAAAUGAUGUUGGUGGUAUUUUUGUGGGAUGGGGGAUGUCAAUAGCUUCAAAACGAGCUAAAGAACGUCAAAAUCGGACUCCGGAUGAAUUAGUUAUGGUCAAAACGGUGAAACACGGAAGGCUGAAAUGCCAGGGACCGGAUAUCCUGGGGUAGGGGCCGGAUUUCCGGGGGUGUAUGUCCAGAACCGUACAGAUUUGGUGCUCCAGGGCCCGGAUGUCCGGCUUGGGGCCCGGAUGUCCGGCCUGAGGCCCGGAUGUCCGGCCCGACGAUUCCAGAUCUCGUUUGGGGCGGAAAUUUUUGAAUUGGGGGCGGAAAUUGAUGAUUUCGUGGGCAAAAUUUGAUGGAUUUCAUGGAUGGAAGGUGGGGAAACUUGGGGGAAAUCUAGAUCCACUUGAAACCAAGCAAAUCCACGAAUCAAAAUCAAAAAAACAUCAUCAAACCAACAAAUCACAAAAAAAAAUUGGGGCUAUUUUUGGUGGGGAUUUUCGGAUUUUAUGAUGAAAUCAAGCAAAAGAAGGCUAGAAAACGGUGGGAGGGACUCCACAUACGUGAUCAACGUGGCUCAUGAUACCAUAUGAUACGGGUCUAACCCGGUGUAGGCCGAUCUUUCAUUUUUGGAGUGGGAUCCCUCGAAGAGCAUGAAGAACACGGGAAAGAACAGAGAGAAAUCACAAGGGGAAACACUCAAGAACAAGUCCAAUCACACAUCCACUAGACAAUCAAACACACAAGAUCCACAAGGUACAUGAACAAUCAAAGGGAAACAACAUACAUGGUAAAGUUCAUCUCCAAGAGGAGGUCUUGAUGAUAUCCUAGAUGGAUCUUCCCACGAGGGGGUCUCGAUGAUAUCCCGCAGGAUCUUCUCCUAGAUGGAGGUCUUCGCCUCCAAUGGAGUAGUGGUCUCUCUCUCUCAAGAGUAGAGAUAGGUAGGAGCAAAGCUCACAUACAAAUGAGCUAUCACUUUGCUAACCCUAACAAGAGGAAGGGGAUAGAGUAUAUAUAGGCUAGUCCAGAAGGGGUAUGUGAGGAGGGGAUACAUGGGCCUUUGGCCCGACUCUGCGCGCAGGUAGGCGCCGGAUGUCCAGGCUCUUGUGAGAUGCCGGAUGUCCGGGGCGGUUGGCCGGAUGUCCGGCCCGAGCUGGGUGACCUUCUGGCUUCGGGUGCCUCACGCCGGAUUUCCGGGGGCAAUGUCGGAUGUCCGGGCUGUGGCAUGGCGCCGGAUGUCCGGGCACAUGGGCCGGAUGUCCGGCCGCUAUAGCUUCAUGUGACGCCCCCGAUUCAAUCGUACACCAAUCAUGCACGCAAAUGUGUACGAUCAAGAUCAGGGACUCACGGGAAGAUAUCACAACACAACUCUAAAACUUAAAUAAGUCAUACAAGCAUCAUAAUACAAGCCAGGGGCCUCGAGGGCUCGAAUACAAGUGCUCGAUCAUAGACGAGUCAGCGGAAGCAACAAUAUCUGAGUACAGACAUAAGUUAAACAAGUUUGCCUUAAGAAGGCUAGCACAAACUGGGAUACAGAUCGAAAGAGGCGCAGGCCUCCUGUCUGGGAUCCUCCUAACUACUCCUUGUCGUCGUCAGCGGCCUGCACAUAGUAGUAGGCACCUCCAGUGUAGUAGGGAUCUUCGUCGAUGGUGGCGUCUGGCUCCAGGGCUCCAGCAUCUGGUUGCGACAACCAGGUAGAAGGGAAAGGGGAAAAGAGGGAGAAAGCAACCGUGAGUACUCAUCCAAAGUACUCGCAAGCAAGGAACUACACUACAUAUGCAUGGGUAUAUGUGUAAGGAGGCCAUAUCGGUGGACUGAACUGCAGAAUACCAGAAUAAGAGGGGGAUAGCUAGUCCUAUCGAAGACUACGCUUCUGGCAGCCUCCGUCUCGCAGCAUGUAGAAGAGAGUAGAUUGAAGUCCUCCAAGUAGCAUCUCCAAGUAUCAUCUCCAAGUAGCAUCUCCAAGUAUCAUCUCCAAGUAGCAUCGCAUAGCAUAAACCUACCCGGCGAUCCUCUCCUCGUCGCCCUGUAGAAAAGCGAUCACUGGGUUGUCUAUGGAACUUGGAAGGGUGUGUUUUAUUAAGUAUCCGGUUCUAGUUGUCAUAAGGUCAAGGUACAACUCCAAGUCGUCCUGUUACCGAAGAUCACGGCUAUUCGAAUAGAUUAACUUCCCUGCAGGGGUGCACCACAUAACCCAACACGCUUUAUCCCAUUUGGCCGGACACACUUUCCUGGGUCAUGCCCGGCCGCGGAAGAUCAACACGUCGCAGCCCCACCUAGGCAAAAUAGAGAGGCCAGCACGCCGGUCUAAACCUAAGCGCACAGGGGUCUGGGCCCAUCGCCCAUAGCACACCUGCACGUUGCGUGGGCGGCCGGAAGCAGAACUAGCCCCCUUAAUACAAGAGCAGGCUUACGUUCCAAUCCGGCGCGCGCCGCUCCGUCCCCGACGUCUGAAGUGCUUCGGCUAAUACCACGACGCCGGGAUACCCAUAACUACUCCCGCGUAGAUGGUUAGUGCGUAUAGGCUCGUAGCCAACUCAGAUCAAAUACCAAGAUCUCGUUAAGCGUGUUAAGUAUCCGCGAACGCCGAACAGGGCUAGGCCCACCUCUCUCCUAGGUGGUCUCAACCUGCCCUGUCGCUCCGCCACAAAGUAACCGUCGGGGACCGUCGGGAACCUAGGCCCACCUCUACCGGGAUGGAGCCACCUGUCCUUUCAGCCCCCAACUCCGAAUAGUAUCACAGGUAAUGUAACAGUGUAAAGUAUAUAGUAUAUGCCCGUGAUCACCUCCCGAAGUGAUCACAGCCCAGUAGUAUAGCAUGACAGACGGACAAGAGUGUAGGGCCACUGAUGGAACACUAGCAUCCUAUACUAAGCAUUUAGGAUUGCGGGUAAGGUAUCAAUGACUGUAGCAGCAAUGACAGGCUAUGCAUCAGAAUAGGAUUAACGGAAAGCAGUAACAUGCUACACUACUCUAAUGCAAGCAGUAUAGAGAAGAGUAGGCGAUAUCUGGUGAUCAAAGGGGGGGCUUGCCUGGUUGCUCUGGCAAGAGAGAGGGUCAUCAACUCCGUAGUCGAACUGGUCAGCAGCAGCAUCGGUCUCGUAGUCUACCAGAGAGAAGAGGGGGAAGAAAUAAUGAAUACAGAGCAAACAAAGCACCACAAAAUAUAUCAAGGCAAUACGCGGUGUUCGGUGUGCCCUAACGCGGUAGUAGGUGAUACCGGUGAAGGGGGAAAAACCCCCGGGAAAGUAUUCCCGGUGUUUCGUGUUUUCGGGCAGAGGAGCCGGAGGGGGAAAGUUGCGGGUUCGAUAGGUUAGGGGUGUGUGGCGGACGAACGGACCGCGUAUCCGGAUUCGUCUCGUCGUUCUGAGCAACUUUCAUGUUGAAAAUAUUUUAAUCCGAGUUACGGAUUAAAAGAUAUGAUUUUCUAAAGAUUUUAUUAAUUUCUGGAAUUUAAUUAAUUAUUUAAUUAAUUCGAAGUUGGAUUUAUGACAUCAGCAUGAUGUCAUGCUGACGUCAACAGUCAACGUUGAACGUUGACCUGGUCAACCUGACAUGUGGGUCCAGGGGGACCCACCUGUCAACCUCUAAUUAGGUUAAUUAGGGUUUAGGUUAAUUUAAUUAUAGUUUAAUUAAACUUAACUAGUUAAUUAAAUUAAUUAAACCGGAUUAAUUAACUUAAUUAAUUGCUUAAUUAAUUAAUAAUUUUAUUAAUUCAUUUUUUAUUUUUAUUAAUUAAUUUUUUUAAUUCCUUUUUUUAAGGGGCGGUGGGGCCCAUUUGUCUGUGGCACAGAGGCCUAGCGGGCGGGGUGCUAGCGGGUGGAGUCGGCGCGGGCGUCGGGCGCCAGCCCGAAUGGGCGCACGGGCGUUAUCGGGUGCGGGCGCGGCGCACCCGCACGGAGGCGACGGAGGGCGCCAGCGGGUUCGUGCCCACGAUGCGUCCAGGGGAGGGCGUGUGGGCGUGCGGGGAGGGGAACCACGGCGGCGGCUCACCGGAGUUGCGUUCCGGUGACCACUUGGUCACCCACGAGCAUCAGAAAGACGAGCGCGUUGGCGCGCAUCGAGUUGGGCUAGUGGUUGGUGCUGGAGGUGGCCGAAAACAAGGCCGGUGACGAGGUUCGGCGGCGGCGGGCGUGCAGCAGCAAGGGGGAGCGGGGACCGUCCAUGGCCGGGCUUGGUCAGAGGGGCGUGGGCGCGAGCGCGCGCUGUCGGCCACGGUCGGGCGCGGCCAAGCGCGGUCUAGGGCGUGCGGGAGCUCGACGGUGGUCCCGUGCGGAGGCAGGUGGCCGCGGGCGGCUCCGGGGUGGGGUCGGGCGCAUCCACGAUGCGGUGAGCGCAACGGUCGAUGGCAGCAGGCGGGAGUCGCUGUGCGCGGCAGCGUGCGCGUGCGAAACGGCGCGGCGAGCGCAGGACGAGGACGCGAGGCGUGCGCGCGUGCGCGUCGAAGACAGGGGAGGAGAGGGGGAAGCUCACGGGGCAGAGUAGGGACGGGGCAACGUGCUCGGUGGAGGUCGGGGAGGUCGACGGGGACGAGCGGCGGAGAGGAGCAGUCCGGUGGGGAAGGGGAAGCAGGCCGUCGNNNNNNNNNNNNNNNNNNNNNNNNNNNNNNNNNNNNNNNNNNNNNNNNNNNNNNNNNNNNNNNNNNNNNNNNNNNNNNNNNNNNNNNNNNNNNNNNNNNNNNNNNNNNNNNNNNNNNNNNNNNNNNNNNNNNNNNNNNNNNNNNNNNNNNNNNNNNNNNNNNNNNNNNNNNNNNNNNNNNNNNNNNNNNNNNNNNNNNNNNNNNNNNNNNNNNNNNNNNNNNNNNNNNNNNNNNNNNNNNNNNNNNNNNNNNNNNNNNNNNNNNNNNNNNNNNNNNNNNNNNNNNNNNNNNNNNNNNNNNNNNNNNNNNNNNNNNNNNNNNNNNNNNNNNNNNNNNNNNNNNNNNNNNNNNNNNNNNNNNNNNNNNNNNNNNNNNNNNNNNNNNNNNNNNNNNNNNNNNNNNNNNNNNNNNNNNNNNNNNNNNNNNNNNNNNNNNNNNNNNNNNNNNNNNNNNNNNNNNNNNNNNNNNNNNNNNNNNNNNNNNNNNNNNNNNNGAGGUGCUGGGCUGGCGAGGUGGCGUCGCGGAGGAGGAUGGAGGCGCGGUGGUUGUGGCGAUGGGAGGCGUCGGGAGCGCGGGAUCGAUCCCGAUCCAGAUCGGAUCGGGAGGGGGGGAGUGCCGACGAGUGGGUUAGGGUUUCGGUCGGGGUUGACCAGGUAUAGGCCAAGGAGGGGGCCGGUUGGGCCAAGUAGGCCGAUUGGAUGGGAGGGGCCGAGGCCCAUGGGGAGGGGGGUUCAUUUAUUUUGUUUUGUUUUCACUUUUGUUUUUCUUAUUUAUUUUACCUUUUCUAUUUUAGUUUUGUCUUCAAUAAUUUUACUUUUGAUAAAAUAUACACUUAGUAUUUAAAUUAGUAUUUCAGCUCAGUCCAUAGCCACAAAAGGUCUAGUCCUCAGAUAAAUUAGUUUGAAAUUUUAUUAAUUACAAAAGUCAUUUAAAUAAUUGUUUUUGCUACUGUUUUAUUCAUCUUGUAGUAUUUAAACAUUUUAUAUAGGUGUGGUUUCUCCACCAUAACCAUCUAUGUUUUAUUUGCUACAAUUUGAACAUUUUAGAUUUGAUAAUUAAAAACUUUUACUGUUUGUCUUCAAUUCAAUUUUGAAUUUGGAUGGGUUCUGAACUAACACAAGAUUAGCAACGGUAAUCGUGGUGACGUGGCAUCAUUGCCAGAGGGUUACUGUAGCUUGAUUACCCGGACAUCACACUUCAGCAGCAUCGUCUUCUUCCGUCGUUGCUUCCAGGAUUCCCUCACGGAUGGUGUAGUUGUUCCUUGGUGCUUGCACUCCUCCUCGACAUUCGUGAAGCUCCGACAAUACCUAUGCAUGCACACGGGAGAAGUGUCAAGUAGUAUACCAUCCUCGAAGGGGUCAAGUGAACAUGUGUAAAGGAGAAGAUUCACCUUUAUGUAUGAGAAGUAGAGGUCGCACGUGUCACUUGCCAAACGGACUCUUGACAUGGUGAUGACCAUAGGAUGCUCCGCAUCAGGUACCGCACAGGAAGAAGCCUUCACGGUAUUGAAAGAUAAGUUGACACAUGCUCCUUUACUCCAACUUCCUGAUUUUAAUAAGACUUUUGAGCUUGAAUGUGAUGCUAGUGGAAUUGGGUUAGGAGGUGUGUUAUUACAAGAUGGCAAACCUGUUGCAUAUUUUUCAGAAAAAUUGAGUGGGCCUAGUCUGAAUUAUUCUACUUAUGAUAAAGAAUUAUAUGCUCUUGUUCGGACUUUAGAGACAUGGCAACGUUAUAUAUGGCCCAAAGAAUUUGUUAAACAUUCUGAUCAUGAAUCUUUGAAACAUAUUAAAAGUCAAGCUAAACUGAAUUGUAGACAUGCUAAAUGGGUUGAAUUCAUUGAGACUUUCCCUUAUGUUAUUAAACAUAAGAAGGGUAAAGAAAAUGUUAUUGCUGAUGCAUUGUCUCGUCGCUAUACUAUGCUUUCACAACUUGACUUCAAAAUAUUUGGGUUGGAGACCAUCAAAGAUCAAUAUGUGCAUGAUGCUGACUUUAAAGAUGUAUUGCAGAAUUGUAAAGAAGGGAGAACAGGGAACAAGUUCGUCAUUAAUGAUGGACUUGUGUUUCGUGCUAACAAGCUAUGCAUUCCAGCUAGCUCCAUUCGUCUUUUGUUGUUGUAGGAGGCGCAUGGAGGGGGAUUAAUGGGACACUUUGGUGUGAAGAAGACGGAGGACGUACUUGCUACACAUUUCUUUUGACCAAAGAUGAGACAGGAUGUUGAGCAUUUUAUUGCUCGCUGCACUACAUGUCAAAAAGCUAAGUCACGACCCAAUCCUCAUGGUUUAUCUAUGCCUUUGCCUGUACCUAGUGUUCCUUGGGAGGAUAUAUCUAUGGACUUUGUUUUAGGUUUACCUCGAACAAAGAAGGGGAGGGAUAGCAUAUUUGUUGUUGUGGAUAGAUUCGCGAAAAUGGCACACUUUAUACCAUGUCAUAAAAGCGAUGAUGCCGUUAAUGUUGCUGAUUUGUUCUUUCAUGAAAUUAUUCGCUUGCAUGGUGUGCCCAAUACUAUUGUUUCAGAUCGUGAUACUAAAUUUCUUAGCCACUUUUGGAGAUGUUUAUGGGCUAAAUUGGGGACUAAACUGCUUUUUAGUACUACUUGUCACCCCAAACUGAUGGACAAACUGAAGUAGUCAAUAGAACAUUGUCUACUAUGCUUAGGGUUGUUUUGAAGAAUAAUAAGAAAAUGUGGGAAGAAUGCUUGCCUCAUAUUGAAUUUGCUAUAGUCGUUCAUUGCAUUCUACUACUAAGAUGUGCCCUUUUGAAAUUGUGUAUGGUUUCCUACCUCGUGCACCUAUUGAUUUGUUGCCUCUUCCAUCUGCGGAGAAGAUUAAUUUUGAUGCUAAACAACGUGCUGAAUUGAUUUUAAAAAUGCAUGAGUUAACUAAGGAAAACAUUGAGCAUAUGAAUGCUAAAUAUAAACUUGCUGAAUAUAAGGGUAGAAAACAUCUUGUGUUUGCACCUAGAGAUCUUGUUUGGUUACAUUUGCGUAAGGAUAGAUUUCCUGAUUUGCGCAAACCAAAGUUAAUGCCACGUGCUGAUGGUCCUUUUAAGGUGUUGGAGAAAAGACAUGAUAAUGCAUAUAAACUGGAGCUGCCUGCAGAUUUUGGGGUUAGUCCCACUUUUAACAUUGCAGAUUUGAAGCCUUAUUUGGGUGAGGAAGAUGAGCUUCCGUCGAGGACGACUUCAUUUCAAGAAGGGGAGGAUGAUGAGGACAUCAAUACCAUUGUUACACCCACAGCCCCUACGGCUACAUAUACUGGACCAAUUACUAGAGCUUGUGCACGCCAAUUAAAUUAUCAAGUACUUUCGUUUCUUGGUAAUGAUUCUAAUGUUCAUGAGAAUAUGAUGCUGCCUAAAUUGGAUACAUUUGUUUUGCUUACAAAUGAAGGGCCUAGCUUGAAGAAGGAUGAACAUUGGAGCAAGAACAAGCAUGGAGAUGAUGGCAUGCGCAAGGGGAACAUGAACGGAGUUACAAGUGAUGAUUUCAGGACUUUCAAGCCACCAUAAUGAGUGCAUGAAGCCUUGGACGAAAUAUACAAGAUGCCACUUCAUAAAUUUCGUCCAGAGGCUAUUCUAGGUGCUGCGUCACCUUAUUGUUGGGCCAGGUGAUAGAGGCAAAGGUGUCCCGUCUUUCGAUGAGAUGAUGGAUAUCGCUUUGGUGGAAGUCGACUUUGACGAUCCGACUACGAACGUGCGAGGACGUCGCGCCUUAGCAAUCGCUAAACCAACUCCGAGAGGUUAUUGACCACGCCGGAGCACGACCAACCUGACCACGAGGGUCUGUUUCCUGCGAGCAAACAAAGAACAAGCAAGAAACUGAGAUUGCAAUUUGGAUAUUGCGAAUAUAAGAUAAAAGCUUUAUUGAUCAAGGUGGGGUUCUGUGAUGUCUUUGUCUGGUCGUUGAACACAAACGAAGUACGCGAAGUUGCAGCUAUGGCGAACUUUAAUCUAAACAAAACCCAAAGUCUAAACGGUGCCCUAAGGGCUGUAUAUAUGGAGGAAGAGGGGGUGAAUUUCGUGGCCCUUGGUAGAGGGGUCUGAAACUAACCCUAUCUCUUGUUUCCCCACACAUACGGACUGUAAAAAUAGCCUAUACUUAGGUAUUUCGAAAUUACAUGGGCCUGACCCAAUAAUAAGGUGACGCAGCACCUAGAAUAGCCUCGGGACGAAAUUUAUGAAGUGGCAUCUUGUAUAUUUUGUCCAAUGCUUCAUGUACUCAUUAUGGUGGCUUCAAAGUCCUAAAAUCAUCACUUGUAACUCCGUUCUUGUUCCCCUUGUGCAUGCCAACAUCUCCAUGCUUGUUCUUGCUCCAAUGUUCAUCCUUCUCCAAGCUAGGCCCUUCAUUUGUAAGCAAAAAAAAUGUAUCCAAUUUAGGCAGCAUCAUAUUCUCAUGAACAUUAGAAUCAUUACCAAGAAAUGAAAGUACCUGAUAAUUUAAUUGGCGUGCGUGAGCUCUAAUAAUUGGUCCAGUAUAUGUAGCAGUAGGGGUUGUGGGUGUAACAAUGGUAUUGAUCUCCUCAUCAUCCUCCCCUUCUUGAAAUGAAGUCGUCCUCGACGGAAGCUCAUCUUCCUCACCCAAAUAAGGCUUCAAAUCUGCAAUGUUAAAACUGGGACUAACCCCAAAAUCUGCAGGCAGCUCAAGUUUAUAUGCAUUAUCAUUUAUUUUCUCCAGCACCUUAAAAGGACCAUCAGCACGUGGCACUAACUUUGAUUUGCGCAAAUCAGGAAAUCUAUCCUUAUGCAAAUGUAACCAAACAAGAUCUCUAGGUGCAAACACAAGAUGUUUUCUACCCUUAUCUCCAGCAAGUUUAUAUUUAGCAUUUACACGCUCAAUGUUUUGCUUAGUUAACUCAUGCAUUUUUAAAAUCAAUUCGGCGCGUUGUUUAGCAUCAAAACUAACCUUCUCCGAAGUUGGAAGAGGCAACAAAUCAAUAGGUGCACAAGGUAGGGAACCAUACACAAUUUAAAAAGGGCACAUCUUAGUAGUAGAAUGCAAUGAACGAUUAUAAGCAAAUUCAAUAUGAGGCAAGCAUUCUUCCCACAUUUUCUUAUUAUUCUUCAAAACAGCCCUAAGCAUAGUAGACAAUGUUCUAUUGACUACUUCAGUUUGUCCAUCAGUUUGGGGGUGACAAGUAGUACUAAAAAGCAGUUUAGUCCCCAAUUUAGCCCAUAAACAUCUCGAAAAGUGGCUAAUAAAUUUAGUAUCACGAUCUGAAACAAUAGUACUGGGCACACCAUGCAAGCGAAUAAUUUCACGAAAGAACAAAUCAGCAACAUUAACGGCAUCAUCGUUUUUAUGACAUGGUAUAAAGUGUGCCAUUUUCGAGAAUCUAUCCACGACAACAAAUAUGCUAUCCCUCCCCUUCUUUGUUAGAGGUAAACCUAAAACAAAGUCCAUAGAUAUAUCCUCCCAAGGAACACUAGGUACAGGAAAAGGCAUAUAUAAACCAUGAGGAUUGAGUCAUGACUUAGCUUUCUGACAUGUAGUGCAGCGAGCAAUAAAACGCUCAACAUCCCGUCCCAUCCUUGGCCAAAAGAAAUGUGUAGCAAGUACGUCCUCUGUCUUCUUCACGCCAAAGUGUCCCAUUAAUGCCCUUCCAUGCGCCUCCUGCAACAACAAAAGAUGAAUAGAGCUAGCUGGAAUGCAUAGCUUGUUAGCACGAAACAAAUCCAUCAUUAACGACGAACUUGUUCCAUGUUAUCCCUUCUUUACAAUGCUGCAAUACAUCUUUAAAAUCAGCAUCAUGCACAUAUUGAUCUUUGAUGGUCUCCAAACCAAAUAUUUUGAAGUCAAGUUGUGAAAGCAUAGUAUAGCGACGAGACAAUGCAUCAGCAAUAACAUUUUCUUUACCCUUCUUGUGUUUAAUAACAUAAGGGAAAGUCUCAAUGAAAUCAACCCAUUUAGCAUGUCUACAAUUCAGUUUAGCUUGACUUUUAAUAUGUUUCAAAGAUUCAUGAUCAGAAUGUACAACAAAUUCUUUGGGCCAUAAUAAUGUUGCCAUGUCUCUAAAGUCCGAACAAGAGCAUAUAAUUCUUUAUCAUAAGUAGAAUAAUUCAGACUAGGCCCACUCAAUUUUUCAGAAAAGUAUGCAACAUGUUUGCCAUCUUGUAAUAACACACCUCCUAAUCCAAUUCCGCUAGCAUCACAUUCAAGCUCAAAAGUCUUAUUAAAAUCAGGAAGUUGGAGUAAAGGAGCAUGUGUUAACUUAUCUUUCAACACCGUGAAGGCUUCUUCCUGUGCGGUACCCCAAACAAAAGGCACAUCCUUCUUUGUAAGCUCAUUGAGAGGUGCAGCAAUGGUGCUGAAAUCUCUCACAAAACGCCUAUAGAAUCCAGCGAGGCCAAGAAAACUCCUCACUUGUGUGACCUUUUUGGGCUGCGGCCAACUCUCAAUAGCUUCAAUCUUGGCUUUAUCAACUUCAAUUCCCUAUGGAGUAACGACAUAGCCAAGAAAAGACACUCGAUUGGUGCAAAAGGUGCACUUCCCAAGGUUACCAAACAAACGUGCAUCACGUAGAGCAAUAAAAACAGCAUUUAAAUGUUCCAAAUGUUCCUCCAAAGAUCUGCUAUAAAUCAAUAUGUCAUCAAAGUAAACUACCACAAAUCGUCCAAUGAAAGCACGUAAAACUUCGUUCAUUAACUCAUGAAAGUACUAGGUGCAUUAGUUAACCCAAAAGGCAUGACUAACCACUCAUAUAAUCCAAACUUAGUUUUAAAUGCUAUUUUCCAUUCAUCCCCAAAUUUCAUACGAAUUUGAUGGUAUCCACUACACAAAUCACCUCUGGAGAAUAUUGUAGAGGCACUCAAUUCAUCAAGCAUAUCAUCUAGCCUAGGAAUAGGAUGACGAUAACGAAUAGUAAUAUUAUUAACGCCUCUACAAUCAACACACAUACGCGAUGUACCAUCCUUUUUCGGCACUAGAAUAAUAGAAACAGCACAAGGACUAAGGGAUUCGCAUAUAUAACCUUUGUCGAGAAGCUCUUGUACUUGACGCAUAAUUUCCUUCGUCUCCUCUAGAUUGGUACGGUAUGGCGCACGGUUUGGCAGUGAAGCACCGGGAAUUAAGUCAAUCUGAUGCUCAAUCCCUCGAAUAGGUGGUAAUCCCGGUGGCACGUCUUGUGGAAAGACGUCAGCGAACUCCUACAAAAUGUUAGUGACAGCAGGAGGCAAAGAGGAAGGCACGUCCUCGAAUGAAAAUAAUGCCUCUUUGCACACAAAAGCAUAGCAAAUAGAUUUGCUGAAAUCUAGCUCAUUAAUAUCAGAUUUGGUGGCAAAUAAACAUGCACUUUUCAAUUUAAUUUCAGAUGCAACACUAGAUGGUUUAUUAUUAGGCUUCAUUUGUUGCUCAAAUUCUUUUGCCACAAUCUGAUUUUCACUCUUAUUUUGCUCCUGUUUUUGCUUUAUUAGCUCUAUUAAUAUCAUCUUUCAAAAUGGAAUCAGGAGUCUUAGGAAGCAAAGUAAUAUUUUUAUCCUUAUGAACAAGAGUAUACUGAUUAUUUCUACCAUGGUGUACAAAAUUUUUAUCAAAUUGCCAUGGUCUACCAAGUAAUAAGGAACAUGCUUGCAUAGGUACCACAUCACAAUCAACAUAAUCAGCAUAUGUAGAGACACUAAAAUGCACACGAACAAUACGUGUUACCUUAACCUUGCCGCCGUUGUUGAACCAUUGGAUGUACUAAGGAUGUGGAUGUGGUCUUGUGGUGAGAGAGAGCUUAUCCACCAUCUCCAAGCUAGCCAAGUUGUUGCAGCUCCCUCCGUCUAUGAUGACGCGCACAAAACGUUCCUUCACAACUCCCUUUGUAUGGAACAAAUUAUGCCUCUGAUUUUGCUCAACUUGUGUAACCUGCACACUCAAAACACGUUGAGAAACUAAAACAUUCAUACCUGUCAGCAUCUUCAGGAGCCAUGGAUUACGUCUCAUGAUCAGAAUCAUCUCCACCGUGUUCUUCACUUGUAAUAAGGUCCAAAGUCUCCUCAUCAUAGUCACUAGCAGACUCAUACCCACCAUCCUCAGUAGCAAUCAUCACACGAUGAGAUUUGCAUUCUCACGCACAGUGUCCUCUUCCCUUACAACGACGGCAAAUAAUAUCACUUGUGUGCCCUGUUGAUGCCAUGGACGAAGAAGAGCUCUGUGCAGGCCCGACAUGUGCGCUAUUGGCAGAUAGUGGUGGUUGUGCCUGCUUUCUUGUAUCAUGGCUGGAGGUAGCAGCUGAUGGAGGUGCUGGUGCAGUGGAAGUAGAGGAUGCACGCGGUGUCCAUGAUGAAAGUCGACCUGCAGAAAAGUUAGUUUGCGCCAAUCCUUGUCGAUCCUGCACUUCACGUUCAGCUUUAGAAGCAAGAUGGAAUAAACGAGUGAGUAGGAUGAAAUCAACAAAAUCAAGCUAGCAAACACGGGGUAGGGGCUCCAAAAACGUGAUCAACGUGGCUCAUGAUACCAAGAUGAUGUAGGGUGGAACCCUAUAGCGUCGAUCUUUCACGUUUGGAGUGGAUCCUACGGGGAAUCACGAAGAACACGCGGAAGCACAAAGGGGAAAUCAUGGGGAGGAACGAAGGAAAACACUCAACCAACAAGGAAUCGGUCACACAAGUGCUAGAUCAAAGAACACAAAGAGAUACACGAGAUCCAAAGUCAACAAAGGUAAGGAUACAAAGGUAACCGAUCUUCUCCAUGAGGAGGCCUUGAAUCCACAAGGGGAUCUUCCCACGAGGGGGUCUUGAAUCCGAUAGGAUCUGCUCCGAAGAGGCCGCGGUCUCUCUCGAGGAGGAGAUCCGAUGGAUGAGCGAAGCUCUAUCUCUAACUUGAGCUAAAUCAACGCUAACCCUAAAACGUAGGUGGAGGGGGAGUAUAUAUAGUCUAAGGGGCGAAGGGCUACAUGGGUCUCGGCCCGGUUGCACUGCACGCAGGCAGGGGAGGCCGGAUGUCCGGGCGACGGGCCGGAUGUCCGGGCCUUCGCGAGGUGCCGGAUGUCCGGGCUAGCUGGCCGGAUGUUCGGGCUGGAGUGGCCGAAUCUUCUGCUCUCUGGAUAGCGUGCGCCGGAUUUCCGGGCAGGCGACCGGAUUUCCAGGGCUUCGGGAGGAGCCGAAUGUCCGGGGCAUAUGGCCGGAUGUCCGGGCUAGCUUGGCUGAUUCUAGAGCUUCCUGGAUAGAAGGGGGGGCCGGAUUUCCGGGCGAUGCGCCGGAUGUCCGGGCCUGGCCGGAUGUCCGGGCUGUGGCUGGAUGUCUGGGUCUGUAGCAGCUGGCUCUUCUUCCUUCUCCUCUUCCAUGCUUCUGUGCAUGCUCGGCCUUGGUCCUUGGGUUCUCCAUGGUCUCCUGGGGUGUACCUGAGUAUGCACAAGGUUCGCGCUUGAAGUAGCAACCAUGUCUCACGUGUGGAAAGUGAAGGUUUAGAGAUGAGUGAGUUCACCUUGUGUCCAAUGGCGUAUGCUCGAGGUCUCGUCAUAUGUCCUCUUAGGGCUCGGAGAGUAGUCGGAGUGUACAUGGGGAUGAACGUGGGAUGCUCCGCAUCAUCUCCCCCCCCUUGGGAAAGAUCCGACCUCGGAUCAUGAUCCUCAUCACCAUGGAAACGGUUGUCAUAGAUGGACUUGUAGUUGGACGAAGUUGAAGACAUGGCGCAAUCCAAGUAGUCCAAGGUGUCGCCGGAGUUAUAGAUAUGCAAAAAGAGCAAACACAAGAAACACUCGGAAAUACAAUGGUUAGCGCACACAAAGUGUCCAUCAUGCAAGAAUGAGUCUGUGCGGCAAGAUUGGCCAUGACAAAGUGCAUGAAGCUUAUCAAGAUGAUCUAGAAUGAGAUGCAAAGCAUUCAUGGGAGGAAAUGCAAUCAUUGUGAACACAAAUGUGUUGUAAAUAUGAUCAACACAACCAUGGUGCAAAAUGAUGUCAUAGUGAGAUGGUUUAUCAAGUGCAUGAACAUGGCAAUGGAUGCUCAAUAUGUGAAUAUUAUCAUGCAAUUGAUGGUCGAAAAUAUGAUCAUUAUGUAUGAAUAUGCCAUCAAAGAAGAUCACAACAAAUUUUCUAAGGAAGUGCACAAGCUCAAAUAUCAUGGAUGACAUGGGAAUACAAGAUGCAACAAGGCAAUCAUAAUGUGAGUCAAUCCAUGCAUAGGGUGCAAACUUGUGGUGAGUAUGAUAUGUCCAUCAAGCAUGACAUGUAUGAGCAUAAGCAACAAAUAUGGAUGUGUGAGUGCAAUGUGUCAAAUGAGUGUUGAUGUACCAAUGCUCGAUGUCGUGGCAUGAGUGGAAUUCCGAAGGUGCAUCCAAUAAGUGCGAGCGCUCCUCAAUGUGAAGGUCCAUAGAGCCAAUCUCCAAUGUCGCUCCUCCGUUCGCGAGAUGUAUCAUGUAGACAACAAGAAGGAGACAACAAUGAAAGAGUGACCCAUCCAAUAUGCAAACUUGAGGAUGGCUCAAAGGGAAGGAGUUCACCUUUAUGAGAAUGUCGAAAAUGUUGGUGUCGCACAUCAUGUAUGCCUUCACAUGACCAAGUUGUCUCAUCAUGGCACCGCCUUGUGAAUCCUCCAAAACGAAAGAACAUGGCAAACACUCGGAAAAACAAAUGAGGUUAGUGCAAAUGCAACACCUAUCAUUCGUGAGGUAAGAUACCCAACAAGUGUAUGCAUCAUGCUCGUCAUAAGAAAGGACAAGGGAACAUUUCAUAAUAUGGAGGCAUAUGAUGCAAGAACAACCAAGUACAAGAGGCUCAGUCAAACAAGCAUGCAUCACAAGUAUAGUGUCCAAGUCUCCAAGAUCAAUAAUCAUAGCAAGUUGACACUCAAUACAAGGUGAUAUGAGAGAUGCAAUUAAUGGAGACAAGAGGCAAUGAUCAUGACAAAUCAAGUGAGAGGCAUGAGCAUAUAUGUCAUCAACCCAAGAAAGCGAGUAAGAGUGGAACAUGGGUGAUGCAACCAAGCAAGCAAUCAUAGCAAUCAAGUCAAGCAAGCUAGUAGUGCGAAGAUGCAACAUACUAGGAGGAAUCAUGGCAAGCAUGUCAUUGGUGGAAAUAGUGUGCAUGAAUAAUUCACAUGUCAUAGCACAAGCAUGAAAGCAAGAUGUGAGUAAAAUAUCAUCAAUGUAUUGGCGAGAGACCAUAUGUAAGUAGCAAUGGGGCAUCAUGACUCUCCCAACACAACAAGCAUCAAUAACAUGGGGCACAAAGAAAUCAUGGCAAUAGCUACAACGAUCUUCACCAAGCAUGCAAAUAGACAUAGAAGUAGCAUAAUGGUGAAUCAUGGGUAUAUGCAAGCAAGGGUCACAAUCGCAUGGCAAAGGCAUAGAAGCAAGCAUAACAUGCAAAGUGAACACAAUAGUAUGGGCAUAAGGUGACAAGUGGUAAAUAGCCCAUAGCCGUGUGAGAGCCAAGUAGAAUAGAUGCGCGUAGUCCUUGCGCGAAGGGAGCGGUGGUAAGGAUAGUCCAUGGGAUCCCAAAGCAUCGUUUCUCUCAAGAGCUCGUUUCGUCAACUCUUGGGAUUGAGAGGUUGACGAGUAUACAUGAGUACCUACACAAAACAAAGACAAAGAUAAAAUUGUGUGUGCAUGGUAUAUGUACACAUCAUCCAUCAUGAUGCGCACAUGCAUGUGUCGGUUAGCACAAAAUAGCCAAUGCUCAAACAAAUGAGAUGCGUGAUAUAGAAACAUGUCAUCCAUCAUGAGAGGUUUGUUAUUAUGUAUAGCAUAAUGGAGACUCAAAUUGUGUAAUGCAUCACGAGAAAUAUCUAGAGCAUUGUUAUUCAUGGAAUGCAUAUGAUGUACACUAUCAUGGGAAUCAUGCAAAGUAUGAAAUGCAUCAAGAUCUCCUAAUAUGUAUGAGGAAACUAUGGGGGUCUCCUCAUGAGCAAGAGUAGAAACAUCACGUGGAGAAUAUUGACAACAUCCAAAACAUUGCAUAUUCGGAACAAUGUGAUCAUGGCAUGGAAAGUAGAUGAAUUGCGCAAAUCAUGUAAAGGAAGCAUGGAAAUAUCAUCACAUGAAAAACAAAAGCCAAUGACCAUCAUCUUGUCAUCUAUGCCAUAAGUGGAAAUGGGAUUGAUUUUAAUGGGGCAUGCAUAGUUACUAUGUUGAGAUUGAAAUGAUGCAAUAUGGGAGAUCUCACUCAUAGCAUAUGACAAGUUCAAUGGAUUGUCAAACAUGAAGUGACCAAUAGAAUUUUCACAAGAUAUCCUAUGAAGCAUAGCAUCACAACUAGGCAACUCAACAUGCUCAUCAUCAUAUUCAUCAUAAAUAGGUAAGUCAAGGCAUGAAGAAGUCUCACUAGCCUGAAGCAUGGCAAUAGGUGUGUCAACAUCAUGGGAGCAAUCGAUGUCAAGAUAGUCCACUAGUGGGACAAGAGAAGUACCAUCACCUAUGUUACCUUUGGAGCAUCGCUCAUGUGUUGUAGGUGAGGUGUCAAAGAUCCAUUCGUUGUCAUCUUCAUCUUGAUGGAACCAUGUGGGGGUGUAUCAUCGUCCACAAUGGCCAUAGGUGUCUCCAUUGGAGGAAUGGACUCGUCGAGGGUAGGUAUGUCGUCAUGUAGGAGACCUUGCACCAAAGAAGAAAACACACUAGGAGUAGAGGUUAAGUCGUUAGAAAUCAAAGUGGCCUCACAUGCCGUGUCAACUACCUCACUCUCUAAGUGUUGUGGCUCACUCACUCCCUCAAGGAUGCUCUCACUCAUAUGGUUGGUGGAGUCACUCGAAUGGCGCUCAACCUCACAUAGGAUGUGUGGCAUGCUCUCAUGUGCGGGGCUAGUGGUGGUCACACUCAUCCUCUCAUAGGAAAUGCUCUCAAUGUCACAUAUGGUGGAGUCACUCAUGUCACUCAUGUGGUGGUGGCUCUCCUCACAUGACAAAUGGGGCAUCUCGACAUAUGUGGGCGUCGAAAAGGUGUGGGUGCAAAUGUCUCCAUGCGCGGUCUCGUAGCUUGACUCGGAGAAUGAGUCCAAUGUGGGCGUUGUCUUCAUGUUGUUGAAGAGGUUCGCGCUCGUCGCCGUGGUCGAAGGGGAUGGCCCUUGCUCGACCGUCUUGUCACCGUCUUGGUGUUGGAGGCCCAUAUGAUGUGGCACCUCAUAGCUCGUCUCCAUGACCGAAGGGAGUUUCCCAUGCUCGGCCAUCUUCCUUGAGGGGCUUCCGAAAAUGGAAGUGUCGCCCUCGCUCGUAGGUGGUCGCCUUGGACUUGAUGAAGUUGAUGUAGGCGUACACGUGGGAAGUAGGCGAAGAUGUCGUACGUCCAAAGGCGAAGAUGCCUUGAUUGCACUUGGCGAAGAUGCCGAAGUGGUUGUUGUAGCCGUAGCACCGUCUUGGUGGUGCUUGUCUCGCGGUCUUCUCUUGUGCUUAUGAAGCUUUGACUUGGCGUGAAGUAGGGCUUGUUGGGACUUGUGCAUUUGCGCUUGUGGAGCAUCUUCAUGAUGAUGAUGUCGUUGUCGUGCUUGAGCUCCUUGGCGUUCGUCGUCGUCAUGCACAUGAUGCUUGGAGGUGACUUGCCCUUCAUGACGAUGUUGGUCACGAACGUGAUGGUGGUCGCCAUGUAGAUGUUGACUUGGACAACUUGCGCUUGCAUCUUGUUUGCGCUCCAAAGACUUGUGGCUUGAAUGUCGUCGUCUUGAGGAUGAUGAAGUGGAAGAAGACUUGAUCAAGGCCCGAAUCUCUUCCAUCCUCGCAUCUUGCUCCUCCUUUUGGGCAGCAAGCUUGUUGUCGAUGUAGUCCCUUUUCCUUGCUUCGGAGUGGAAAAUGUCGAUGGACAUGUUCUCAAUGCGCUCUUGCAAUCUUGAUUGUGCGCCUUGCAUUUGUCGUUGUAGAUCGAAGAUGGACGCUUUGUUGAUGUAGUUGUUCACGCCGUUGUUGUUGUCGUAGACCGGAGAGGAAAUGCCUUGCCUAUCCAUCACAAGACUCAAGAAAAUAUGAGUGGGAGAAAGAGAAGAACUUAUACCAAUGUACCUUGACCGAUGUUGACAAUGAAUCAAGUUCACUCAAAUGCGGACAAUGAAAUAGCACUAUUGGUACCAAUCCUUGUCGAUUCUCACACCUACACAAGUAAAGCUUAUAGUGGAGCUCGGUGAGGAUAGUGGCACAAAAAUUUAAUGCAAAAUGUUAGCAAGAGUCAAUAAUGUUGAAAGAGAUUCACAAAUUCGCAAGUGAAAUAAAUGGACCAAUAGCAAAGAAUGGCACACGGAAACACACACACGGAUAGAUAAAUGGGGUCGUGCAACCAAGGAAUGAGCACAAAAUGUGGAAUCCACGGAAAACACUCGUGUUGCACAACUCAAGAGAGACGCUAGCACGAUUGCUCUAUUGGCGGAUACGACACUUGUGCACAACCUAUAAGAUGCAAAAUGGAUAAACUUCUAUUCCAAGUAUGCUAUGUAUGUAUGGUUCCCGGUGUUUCUCUCAAGAUGAUCCAAGAUGAUCGAAUAUGACAAUCUUAUAUGCAAUGUGGUAUGAUGCUAUGGCACUUGCUUACAAGCUCUUUGCUCUCUUCCUCUUUUGCUUAAAAGCUUUAUUUUCUCUCUCUCUCUUUUUUUGUAUGGCCACUUUUGCACAAUGCACAAACCAAGAUAGCAAUUGUGUAUAUACGGGAACAAACUUGUGACACAAGAUAUGAUACCAAUAGAUGCACCACGAUGAUAUGGUAUGUAUGCUAUGGGAAGUAUGAUCACUAAUGUGCACAAGUAACGUUGCCGGCAAUACUCAAGUGGCUAGUCUCGAUAGGCAAGUAACGCAAAAUGGGCUAGGGGUUAACAAUGCAAUGGCAAGGGAAUAUACAAUGGAGGGAUACCACGAUACCAAGAUGAUAUGGAGGUUACCGUCCGGCGAGGAGGAGUAGCGGUGUUCUUGAUGUAGAUACCAAGAUGAUGGAGACUCGUCCCUAAGUAGCCGAAACACCUUAGGAAACGGAAAAACCACGAACUCAAAAUCUCAAACGUCAAAUGUCAAAAUGGUGGUAGCGGGAAUGCGGUGGUGGUUUGCACUUGGCAAUGUGGAAGUGAAAUGAUGGGCUAUACACGUGUCAAAGUUGAAGUUGCCGUCCCUUAGUAGCCUAAACACCUUAGGAGACACAAGCCACAACUCGAAAAAGCUCAAACAACAAUUGGGUUAAGUUGGGUUGUCGGAAGUGUAUGGUGGGCAAGCCUAUGCGGAAGGUAUGGUGGUGGUUGUUGAUGAAGAAGCAACCGUUCCUAAGUAGCCGAAACACCUUAGGAGACUCAAUUCACUUCUCAAACAACCUCAAAUGAUAUGGGGAACAAAAUGGGUUAGGUUGCGGAAGUCGGUGGUGGCUAUGCGGAUGAUAUGGUGGAUGGCCUAGGCAAACUUGCCAAAUUUGCAAAAAUUUGAUGGAGUCAAAUGAUGUUGGUGGUAUUUUUGUGGGAUGGGGGAUGUCAAUAGCUUCAAAAUGAGCUAAAGAACGUCAAAAACAGACUCCGGAUGAAUUAGUUCUGCUCAAAACGGUCAAACGAAAAAAACUGAAAUCCCAAGGGCCGGACAUCCGGGGGUCGGGCCGGAUUUCCGGGACCUGAUGUCCAGAAACUUGUGCGAAAAUGCACUCCAGGAGCCGGAUGUCCGGGCUAAUGGCCGGAUUUCCGGGAUGGCUGGAUGUCCGGAGCUCGGGCCGGAUGUCCGGGCUCCAAAUCCGAGGAUGGACUCGAGGAACUCGAUUUGGGGCGAAAAUUGAAGAUUUUGGGGGCAAAAUUGCGGAGAUUUUGUCGAUGGAAGAUGGGGAAACUUGGGGAGAUGCUAGAUCCACUUGAAACCAAGCAAAUCCAUGGAUCAAAAUCAACAAAACAUCAUCAAACCAACAAAUCACAAAAAAAAUUGGGGGCUAUUUUUGGUGGGGAUUUUCGGAUUUAGGACGAAAUCAACAAAAUCAGGCUAGCAAACACGGGGUAGGGGCUCCAAAAACAUGAUCAACGUGGCUCAUGAUACCAAGAUGAUGUAGGGUGGAACCCUAUAGUGUCGAUCUUUCACAUUUGGAGUGGAUCCUACGGGGAAUCACGAAGAACACGCGGAAGCACAAAGGGGAAAUCACGGGGAGGAACGAAGGAAAACACUCAACCAACAAGGAAUCGGUCACAGAAGUGCUAGAUCGAAGAACACAAAGAGAUACACGAGAUCCAAAGUCAACAAAGGUAAGGAUACAAAGGUAACCGAUCUUCUCCGUGAGGAGGCCUUGUAUCCACAAGGGGAUCUUCCCACGAGGGGGUCCUGAAUCCGAUAGGAUCUGCUCCGAAGAGGCCGCGGUCUCUCUCGAGGAGGAGAUCCGAUGGAUGAGCGAAGCUCUAUCUCUAACUUGAGCUAAAUCAACGCUAACCCUAAAACAUAGGUGGAGGGGGAGUAUAUAUAGUCUAAGGGGCGAAGGGGUACAUGGGUCUCGACCCGGAUGCACUGCACGCAGGCAGGGGAGGCCGGAUGUCCGGGCGACGGGCCGGAUGUCCGGGCCUUCGCGAGGUGCUGGAUGUCCGGGUUAGCGGGCCGGAUGUCCGGGCUGGAGUGGCCGAAUCUUCUGCUCUCUAGAUAGCAUGCGCCGGAUUUCCGGGUAGGCGGCCGGAUUUCCGGGGCUUCGGGAGGAGCCGGAUGUCCGGGGCAUAUGGCCGGAUGUCCGGGCUGGCUUGGCUAAUUCUGGAGCUUCCUGGAUAGAAGGGGGGCCAGAUUUCCGGGCGAUGGGCCGGAUGUCCGGGCCUGGCCGAAUGUCCGGGCUGUGGCCGGAUGUCCGGGGCCUAUAGCAGCUGGCUCUUCUUCCUUCUCCUCUUCCAUGCUUCUACGCAUGCUCGGCCUUGGUCCUUGGGUUCUCCAUGGUCUCCUCGGGUGUACCUGAGUAUGCACAAGGUCCGCGCUUGAAGUAGCAACCAUGUCUCACAUGUGGAAAGUGAAGGUUUAGAGAUGAGUGAGUUCACCUUGUGUACAAUGGCGUAUGCUCGAGGUCUCGUCAUAUGUCCUCUUAGGGCUCGGAGAGUAGUCGGAGUGUACAUAGGGAUGGACGUGGGAUGCUCCGCAUCACUCCUUGUUCGUCAUGUUCUCCCAUUCAAUCUCGUCGACUUGUGUUCCUGCCAUAGUUAGCAGCAAUAGAAUCAGACAAGAAUAUGAUCCUACAGACUACUGGAAUAUGGUGGUGGUGGGGUGUCACAAAUCCAUCAAGCGAAUCUCAAAUUCUUACCAGUUCUUACCCAGCAGCAGGCGGUGAUCGGCAACCGUUGUAGUCAAAACUCUCAAAGCUUGGAUAGAGCGAUUACUAGGGAGAGUCAAACACACGACGUAGAUGUAUGUGGAGCUGGGAAGGCUUAUAAUAUGGUAGCAAAAAGGAUCAGCAAUAAUCAAUUCAGAGACGCAAAGUUGAAUAAACAUUCAACGACGGUACUGUGCUGGUCCUAGGCUAGACCGUGCUAGAGACGCGAGCCUAGAACACUAACAAAAUCACGGCGCUGCACUUAAACAAGGGAAAAGCACACUCUAUAAAAAAAUCGCUCUUUUUUUCCGCUGCUCUUUUUUUUGCGAAAAAUCACUAUAAUGGCGAGUGUCUCAAAACUCUUCCCAAGUCAAACUGACAAGAUGGGCACGAAAUUUUUUGACAAUUUUUUUUCGGAAAUCUGGGCAGCGACGACGAAAAAGUGCGACAAAAAAUCACUAUGAUGGCGAAUGUCUCAAAACACUCUUGGGGACCUAAAAAUAGGAUAGGGAAGAAAUAUUUUCGGUCGCCGAUAUUUUGGCCUAAAAACUACCCGCGGGUCUCCAGACUUUUUUUUUCGAAACCUACUCAAGCAUGGAAACACGAAUCGGAAAUUAGAUGGAUCUCGAAAACAAACCUAAUAUGCAAGGAACUCGGAUUGGUGGUGGAUAUAUGGUGGUAGGAUAUGGCAGCGGUGGUGGUAUAUGAUAGCGUUGGUGGUAUAUGGAUAUGGAGAGGUGGUAUAUGGCAGCGUUGGUGGGAUAUGGCAGCGGUGGUGGUAUAUGGCAGCGGUGGUGGUAUAAGGCAGCGUUGGUGGGAUAUGGCAGCGGUGGUGGUAUAUGGCAACAACGAUGAAGAUGGUGCGGCGGCGGCGUGACAAACUAUGACAGAACUCGAAACUCUAAAGGACUAGACGCUAAGACCAGCAACUAGAGACGACGAUGCAACCGCAAAUUCAACAAAGCAAAACCCUAAAAAGAUUAUGCAAAGGCUCAGAUUGGUUCGGAUAUGAUGAACUAACCCUAAUUUUUUUCUGUGGCUUUUUCGUGGACUGUAGGUGUGAAGAAUCGACUCGAUCUAAACUACGAAAAACUAUAAAAUCUCACCGAGCAACCUAGAAAUAUGAUACCACUUGAUAGAGGCAAAGGUGUCCUGUCUUUCGACGAGAUGAUGGAUAUCGCUUUGGUGGAAGUCGACUUUGGCGAUCCGACAACAAACGUGCGCGGACGUCGCGCCUUAGCAAUCGCUAAAGCAACUCCGAGAGGUUAUUGACCACGCCGGAGCAUGAUCAACCUGACCACGAGGGUCUGUUUCCUGCGAGCAAACGAAGAACAAGCAAGAAUCUGAGAUUGCAAUAUGGAUAUUGCGAAUAUAAGAUGAAAGCUUUAUUGAUCAAGGUGGGGUUCUAUGACGUCUUUGUCUGGUCGUUGAACACAAACGAAGUACGCAAAGUUGCAGCUAUGGCGAACUUUAAUCUAAACAAAACCCAAAGUCUAAACGGUGCCCUAAGGGCUGUAUAUAUGGAGGAAGAGGGGGUGAGUUUCAUGGCCCUUGGUAGAGGGGUCCGAAACUAACCCUAUCUCUUGUCUCCCCACACAUACGGACUCUAAAAAUAGCCUAUACUUAUGUAUUUCGAAAUUACAUGGGCCUGGCCCAAUAAUAAGGUGACGCAGCACCUAGAAUAGCCUCUGGACGAAAUUUAUCAAGUGGCAUCUUGUAUAUUUCGUCCAAGGCUUCAUGCACUCAUUAUGGUGGCUUCAAAGUCCUAAAAUCAUCACUUGUAACUCCGUUCUUGUUCCCCUUGCGCAUGUCAUCAUCUCCAUGCUUGUUCUUGCUUCAAUGUUCAUCCUUCUCCAAGCUAGGCCCUUCAUUUGUAAGCAAAACAAAUGUAUCCAAUUUAGGCAGCAUCAUAUUCUCAUGAACAUUAGAAUCAUUACUAAGAAACGAAAGUACCUGAUAAUUUAAUUGGCGUGUGUGAGCUCUAGUAAUUGGUCCAGUAUAUGUAGCAGUAGGGGCUGUGGGUGUAACAAUGGUAUUGAUGUCCUCAUCACCAGGCCCAUGUAAUUUCGAAAUACAUAAGUAUAGGCUAUUUUUAGAGUCCGUAUGUGUGGGGAAACAAGAGAUAGGGUUAGUUUCAGACUCCUCCACCAAGGGCCAUGAAAUUCACACCCUCUUCCUCCAUAUAUACAGCCCUUAGGGCACCCUUUAGACUUUGGGUUUUGUUUAGAUUAAAAGUUCGACAUAGCUGCAACUUCGCGUACUUCAUUUGUGUUCAACGACUAGACAAAGGCGUAACAUAACCCCACCUUGAUCAAUAAAGCUUUCAUCUUAUAUUCGCAAUAUCUAGAUUGCAAUCUCACUUUCUUGCUUGUUCUUCAUUUGCUCGCAGGAAACAGACCCUCGUGGUCAGGUUGAUCGUGCUCCGGCGUGGUCAAUAACCUCUCGGAGUUGGUUUAGCGAUUGCUAAGGCGCGACGUCCUCGCACGUUCGUAGUCGGAUCGUCAAAGUCGACUUCCACCAAAGCGAUAUCCAUCAUCUCAUCGAAAGACGGGACACCUUUGCCUCUAUUAGAACUCGUGGUCAUCGAACUCAUCGUCCUUGUCAUGAUCAUUGUCUUCUUGCUUCUUGUCGCGGCCCCAGGCGGGCCUCUCCUGAUGAUUAUCUUUGCUGCAGUGGCCUCUUUGGCCACGACGCUUCUUGCCGGACCCCUCGGCACCUUCUUGGCCCUUCUGCUUGUCCUGCCGCUCGUAUUCAGCUUUCUGCUUCUCAGCGAGCAGCUCCACUUGCCGACAGUUCCGGAGGUCAUGGCCCUUGGUGCAGUGGAUCUUGCAAUACUGCUUGUCGGAGCCCCCUGACUUAUCGGCAACCGCCAAGGCCCGGCAAGCGGCACACCCGGCAACCUCCUUGCCGGGGUCACUUGCCUUGGGUUUCUUGCUGGCACCGGUAUCGUCGGACCCCUCGACGGCAAGCACGGUCUUUCCCUUGCGCUUCCUGUUACGGCGCCGGCCCUUCUUCGCUGGGGUGGUGGUAUCAUCCGUUGAGUCGGUUUUCGCGCCAGCGUAUUCGCCAGGGUACUUCCUUCCCUCUUCAGCGCGAGCGCAAGGAUCGGCCAGAACAUAAAGUUCGGCCACAUCCCUGACCUUGUUCAUCGCCAGCUCCUCAUGCAUCUUACGAUUGUGCACAUUCUGAUGGAAUGCACUGAUCACGGCAGCAGGAUGAACGUCGGGGAUGUUGUACUGCACUCCGCUGAACCUUUGGAUGUACUUACGCAAGUUUUCUCCUUCUUUCUGGGGGAUGAUGUGCAAGUCGCUCGCCUGGCCAUGAGCUUGGUGGCCUCCAGUAAAGGCGCCAACAAACUCAUGACACAGAUCCGCCCAGGAAGAAAUGGAGUGCACCGGAAAGUGCAAUAACCAUGACAUAACAUUGGGCUUGAGUGCCAAUGGGAAGUAAUUGGCAAGCACCUUAUCGUCGCGGGCCCCAGCAGCUUACAUCGCGAUGGUGUAGACGCUGAGGAACUCCAACGGGUGAGUCUUGCCAUAGUACUUCUCGCCAACGUCGGGCUUGAACGUGCGGUGGGAGGGCCACUGGAACUGCCGCAGCUCUUGGGUGAAGGCCGGACAACCCACCUCGUAGGUAAGCCACCGUAGCCUCCUGGUGCCGGGUGGUCCGUAGUGGGCCCUGCCCGUCUGUCCGACUAGUGGCGCGCAUCACGCUGGCGCUCGACGGUGGUUCAAGCGUCUUCAUGAGCUCGCUACCGAAGAACUUGGAAUUGGUCACGGUGGGUUCGCGGGUCGGACGACGCUAUGGAGAUAUCAUCACGAGUGUCAUCGCGACGGACCGACACUCGUGUUGGCCGGGAUGGAGGAGGGGAGUACACCGUGGCCGCAUCGCCUCCGGCCCGACCUUCGCUGGCAUGCGGUGGCUCGACGGAGCGAUGGCCUACAGGUCAUGCCGGCCGGAACUCAUCGUUGUUAGCGAUGCCGACGAGGCUCCGGACGGCGGCCCUCCAUUCGUCAUGCUUCUCCGCAGCGGGAGGAAAGUCGAGGAGCAGCUGCGCGCGUGCUUGGGCUUCUGUUGGCGUGGGCGGUGACGAAAUAUGUGUGGACCGCGAUGCGCCUCGACUUCUAACAGUGUUAGAAGGAGCCCCAUCACGGCCCCGUAGCCGUUCGCCACCUCCGCCAGCACCUCGGCACGCAUGCUGGCCCUCCUCAUCCAGUGAAGGGCGCAUGGGACUCUUCCAGGGCGGCGCCCAGGGUCACCAGUAGGGCGGCGCCCAGGGUCACAAGCAGGGCGGCGCUGCUCAUCGCGCACGACCUAAGAAGAGCGCGCCGUGGGCGCCAGUGUUGGUGUCUUGGAGGUCGCCACGCCGCCGUCUAGCGGCACGACGACACCCCUGGAGGGCACCGCGCCGCCUGCGGGGGGGCCGACUCCGUCUCUGGAGCCCACGACGCGUCACUCGUUGCCUGGCGUAUGAACGACGCUGCUCACCAGGCCUGGACUGCUAGGGUGAUGUGGGUGUUUGUGGGCCGCACCAUGGGUUCUCUCCGUGACUGGCCCACUACUGUGAUGAGGACAUCAAUACAAUUGUUACACCCACAGCCCCUGCUGCUAUACAUACUGGACCAAUUACUAGAGCUCGUGCACGCCAACUAAAUUACCAGGUACUUUCGUUUCUUGGUAAUGAUUCUAAUGUUCAUGAGAAUAUGAUGCUGCCUAAAUUGGAUACAUUUGUUUUGCUUACAAAUGAAGGGCCUAGCUUGGAGAAGGAUGAACAUUGGAGCAAGAACAAGCAUGGAGAUGAUGGCAUGCGCAAGGGGAACAAGAACGGAGUUACAAGUGAUGAUUUCAGGACUUUGAAGCCAGCAUAAUGGGUGCAUGAAGCCUUGGACGAAAUAUACAAGAUGCCACUUCAUAAAUUUCGUCCCGAGGCUAUUUUAGGUGCUGCGUCACGUUAUUAUUGGGCCAGGCCCAUGUAAUUUCGAAAUACAUAAGUAUAGGCUAUUUUUAGAGUCCGUAUGUGUGGGGAAAUAAGAGAUAGGGUUGAUUUCGGACCCCUCCACCAAGGGCCACGAAAUUCCCCCCUCUUCCUCCAUAUAUACAGCCCUUAGGGCAUCGUUUAGACUUUGGGUUUUGUUUAGAUUAAAAGUUCACCAUAGCUGCAACUUCGCGUACUUCGUUUGUGUUCAACGACCAGACAAAGGCAUCACAGAACCCCACCUUGAUCAAUAAAGUUUUCAUCUUAUAUUUGCAAUAUCCAGAUUGCAAUCUCAGUUUCUUGCUUGUUCUUCGUUUGCUCGCAGGAAACAGACCCUCGUGGUCAGGUUGAUCGUGCUCCGGCGUGGUCAAUAACCUCUCAGAGUUGGUUUAGCGAUUGCUAAGGCGCGACGUCCUCGCACGUUCGUAGUCGGAUCGUCAAAGUCGACUGCCACCAAAGCGAUAUCCAUCUUCUCAUCGAAAGACGGGACACCUUUGCCUCUAUCAAGUGGUAUCAGAUUUCCAGGUUGCUCGGUGAGAUUUUACAGUUUUUCGUAGUUUAGAUCGAGUCUGUUCUUCAUACCUACAGUCCACGAAAAAGCCACAAAAAAAAUUAGGGUUAGUUCAUCAUAUCCGAACCAAUCUGAGCCUUUGCAUAAUCUUUUUAGGGUUUUGCUUUGUUGAAUUUGCGGUUGCAUCGUCGUUUCUAGUUGCUGGUCUUAGAGUCUAGUCUUUUAGAGUUUCGAGUUCUGGUCAUAAGUUGUCACGCCGCCGCCGCACCAUCAUCAUCACCCCUACCAUCUACCACCACCGCUUAUCCGCCACCGCUUCGAAUCCGUAUCCAUAUACCACCGCCGCUGUCAUAUACCACCACCGCUGCCAUCUACCACCAUAUAUCCACCACCAAUCCGAGUUCUUGUCAUAUUAGGUUUGUUUUCGAGAUCCAUCUAGAUUCCGAUUCGUGUUUCCUUGCCGGAGUAGGUUUCUUAAAAAAAAUUGAGACAGGUAGCCACGCUCCGUUUAGGCCCAAAAUUUGAGACAGGUAGCCAUGCCGGAGUUGGGUAGCCACGCUCCGUUUAGGCCCAAAAUUUUUCGAAAACGCAUUUUUCGAAAAAAUUUCUGGCUAUCCUAUUUUUAGGUGUUUCUGAGUGUUUUGAGACAGGUGCCAUUAUAGGAAGUUUUUUUGACCCGUUUCCAGGUUUUGGGUCCGGGCAGUCAAAAAAAAAAUUGUCGAAAAAAAAAAUUGCGUGCCCAUCCUGUCAGUUUGACCUAGGAAGAGUUUUGAGACACUCGCCAUUAUAGUGCUUUUUCGCAAAAGAAAAAAAAAGCAGCGCAAAAAAAAGAGCGCAAAAAAAAAGAGAGCGAAAAGAAAAAUUCCAGAGUGUGCUUUUCCCUUGUUUACGUGCCGCGCCGUGAUUUUGUUGGUGUUCUAGGCUCGCGUCUCUAGCACAGUCUAGCCUAGGACCAGCACAGUACCGUCGUUGAGCGUUUAUUCAACUUUGCAUCUCUGAAUUGAUUAUUGCUGACCCUUUUUGCUACCAUACUAUAAGCCUUCCCAGCUCCACAUACAUCUACGUCGUGUGUUUGACUCUCCCUGGUAAUCGCUCUAUCCAAGCUUUGAGAGUUUUUGACUACAACGGUUGCCGAUCACCGCCUGCUGCUGGGUAAGAACUGGUAAGAAUUUGAGAUUUGCUUGACGGAUUUGUGAUACACCACCACCACUUCUUAGUAGUCUGUAGGAUCAUAUUCUUGUGUGUUUCUAUUGCUGCUAACCAUGCCAGGAUCACAAGCCGACGAGAUUGACUGGGAGAACUUAUCGAACAAGGAGCUUCAUGAUAAGUUUCAACAAAUGAUGACUGAACAGGUACAAGAUGUGCUGAACAAUUUUGAAGAGGCCAUGGAGAAGAUCACUGGCCUUGAGAAGACGUUCGAAACAAAGCUCGAUAACAGAUUUAAUGAACUGCUUGCGCGUCUUCCACCACCGGCUGCACCUGUCGCACCUCUGCAACAACAACAACUACGCCCCCUUCCGAAUCAGUAUGGACGGGCACAGCGUGUUCCUAUUGAGCCAGGACAAAAUUCUGGUGCCGCUGCUACUGCUGUUGGUGUUUCUUUGGCUCCUGCUACUGCUGCUGCUGGUACCCAGGAGGAUGAUGAGUAUGCGGGCGAUUAUGAGGAUGAGGUUGAUCAAAAUCAGAUCUACGAGCAGCCACCAGCACCACCACCAGCAGGUCGACCUCAGGUAUAUAUUCGUAAUGGUAGGCCUGCACCACCACCUCAGGUACGAGAUGAUGUCCAUAUUCCUAAACUGAAAUUGAAUAUUCCACCAUUUGAGGGUAGAUAUGUUCCUGAUAUAUAUCUUACUUGGGAGUUAGAAACUGAACAAUGAUUUACAUGUUUACAAUAUCCUGAGGAGAGGCGAGUUGCUGCUGCUGUUUGUGCUUUCACUAGUUUUGCAUGUGUAUGGUGGUCUGAACAUUGUAGACUAUAUCCUAUUCCAACUACUUGGGCUGCUUUGAAAACUGCUAUGCGUACUCGUUGGGUUCCACCAUAUUAUCAACGUGAAUUGCUUCAAAAAUUACAGCGCUUAAGACAAGGAAAAAAUUCUGUAGAAGAAUAUUAUCAGGAAUUACAAACUGGCAUGAUUAGAUGUGAUAUUGUUGAGGAGAAUGAAGCUAUGCUUGCACGUUUUCUGGGUGGAUUAAAUAGAGAGAUUCAGACCAUUCUAGACUAUAAGGAGUAUACUAAUAUCACUCGUUUAUUCCAUCUUGCUUGUAAAGCUGAACGUGAAGUGCAGGAUCGACAAGCAUUGGCGCGAACUAACUUUUCUACAGGACGACCUUCAUCAUGGACACCGCGUGCAUCUUCUACUUCAACUGCACGAGCACCUCAAUCAGGUGCCUCCUACAGCCGUGAUACAAGAAAACAGGAACAACCACCUGAUGAGGACAUGGCUACCAUAGUUACACCCAUAUCCUCUGUUGUUUUACCUCUUGGAACAGUUGCUAGAGCUCAGAUACGCCAAUUAAAUUAUCAGGUACUUUCGUUUCUUGGUAAUGUUUCUAGUGUUCAUGAGAAUAUGAUGUUGCCUAACUUAGAUACAUUUGUGUUGCUUGCAAUUGAAGGGCCUAGCACGGACAAGAAGGAUGAACAUUGGAGCAUGGUCAAGCACGAAGAUGAAGGUGCGUGCAAAGAGAACAAGAACGGAGGUUCAAGUGGAGAUUUCCGGACUUUGAAGCCACCAUGAUGACAUACAAGAAGAUGGACAAAAUAUACAAGAUGGCCUUUCAUAAAUUUCCUCCGUAGCUUAUUAUUGGUGUUGCGCCACCUUAUUUUGGGCCAGGCCCAUGUAAUCUAUUUUUAGAGUCCAUAUUAUAGGGGAAAGGACUUAGGAGGUGUUUUAGUCCCACCUUGCCAAGGGUGGACAAAAUCCCCUCUCUUUUCCCUAUAUAUAUAGCCCUUAAGGCUUCGUUUAGACUUGGGGAUUUGUUUAGUUAAAAGUUAGCCAUUGCAACUUCGUGUACUUCGUUUGUGUUCAACGACCAGACCAAGACCGCUUACGGAUCCCCACCAUUAUCAAUACCUCAUAUAUAUUUGCAAUAUUCAGAUUGCUUUAUCAUAUUCUUGCUCGUUCUUCGAUUGCUUGCGGGAAUAGACCUUCGUGGUCAGGCUGACCGUGCUUCCGGCAUCGUCAGUAACCUUAGGAGAUUGGUUUAGCGAUUGCUAAGGCGCAACGUCGUGCAUGUUUGUAGUCGGAUCGUCAAAGUCGUCUCCACCAAAUCGAUAGUUAUCAUCUCAUCGUGUGUCGAGUUGCUGGUUUUUAGUGUCUAGUCUUUUAGAGUUUCGAGUUCUGGUCACGUUUUGUUCACGCCGCAUCCGCAUACACCAUCAUCCACUUCAUUAUCAUUCUCCGCUGCCCGAUCUUUUCUUCACCGCCGCUGCCGCCAUCAUCAUCAUCCAUCUGUUGUUGCCGUUCGUCGCCAUCUUGACUUGUCUUUGAAAAAAAAAUCAGCAUCGUGAUCCUUGUUGGAGAGAAAGUUUGGACCCUUAUUUUGUGGAUCACGUGAUACAACAGUUUGCAAGGUUGGGAUCAGCCAAUAGAAGAAAAAAAAAGAGGUGCAAACAGGAGUUGCCCUGGGCUGGACUGAAUAUAACAAAAAGGAGGAGAUUUAAAGGGUUCAGAACGCUUGUGGUGAUUGUUUUCCUUAGAAACCAUGAGUACUACUAGUACUUUUGAAGCAAGAUAAGGCAAGGGGCCAGUGCAAAUCGUGAUCUGUUGACCAGCCAAAAAAAAGGGCUAGUAUUUUGGAAAGGCAUCUAUUUUCGUGGAAGGUUUUGACCGCAAGAAAAAAAAAGACUUGUUUCCCACGGAAUAGGAGAGAAUCACGUGGUAUUUUUGUUGUGAGGAAGUUGAGAUUGAUUAGGAAGAAAGAGAUCACAUUCGCUAGGUACAAGUGGAGGCCGAAGAGAAAAAAAAUUGCAGAUAUUUGGAAUGAUAGAUUCGUGGGUAUCCUAUCAUAUAUUGUCCACGUUUUGAGUUCGGAAAUAGAAUAAAAGGAAGGAACGAACACAUGAAGGGAUACNNNNNNNNNNNNNNNNNNNNNNNNNNNNNNNNNNNNNNNNNNNNNNNNAGUGCUUUAUUUGGCAGAUUUGGAUCGGCCAUAUUGAAAAAAAAACUGUUGUUUGGCUUCUCCACGCAAAGAGAACGCAUUGAUUGCAGAUUUGUUUCCUUGCCUUCACGUGAAGAAAAAAACAGAUUUGUUUCCAUCGACUUGGAGUACUAGUUGGCUGGUUCGGUUGGGUUUCCUACCAAAAAAAAAUAGAGAUUGACAAAAAAAACGUGGAAGAGAGUUUGUUGGAAACUUUGGAUAUUCCUUUAGUUGGGAUAACGUUUUGGGAAAAGAUCUGACCGAAUCCUCCAAGUUUGGUAACUUUGGAUCGGCUUAAAAGAAGAAACAAGUGCAGAUCUGGUUUUCCGUUGGAGGUUUCCAAGUCUGGACGUUUUUUUUUUUUGGAGAGAAAAAAAAAGGGAAAAACAAAUUUCGGUUGGAGGUUUCCAAAUUCUGGACGUUUGGGAUAUUCGAAGGAAAAACAAGGAAAGAAGAAAACGUAUACAAGGAAAGUGUGAGCGCUUGAUCUUAUUUUGAGGUGAGAGAAGAAGGAAAGAGAUUGGUUUGGCCAGGAAAUAAAAAGUGCAAGUAAAGGAAGGAAAGUAAAGGAGAGAGAAUGAAAGAGAAAAGCAAAACGUGAGGGAGAGAUAGACUUGUGAACAAAUAUUUAAAAGGAAAGAGAAGGUGCAGAUUUGCUCUCUUGGAAAUUCGGAAAUAAAAGGGUGAGUUUUUUUUUUGCUCAGUUUAAAAGAAGAAACAAGAAAAGGAAGUUACAUCCGGAUUGGGUUUUUUUUUCGGAGAGAGAAGGCAUUUCCUAAGAGAAAAAGAGAGAGUUCAAAAAAAAUACGGAGAACAAAAAGGGAAGAGAUAAGUUGGCUGGGUGCAGCACGUGAGGAAAAAAAGUUUGAGGUUAAAAAACAGUUGAGAGAGCAGCUACACCGAAUAUUUGGAGAUAUCAUACGUGCUAGUAGUUCUAGUUUGACGAGUUAAUUUGGUACGGUUGGCUGAAGAAAAAAAAGGAGGGAUUAUCUGGUGGUAGAAGAGAUAUACAAGUGCUUGUACUUUCUGAUUGCUGCGUCGGUCAAAAUUUUUGCUGCAUCUUGCGUUUGCACGUGAAUUUCACUUGUGUCUUAGGCUCGCGUCUCUAGCACAGUCUAGCCUAGGACCAGCACUCGACCACUUUGAACGAAUUUUCAGCUUGCACUAAUUAACGUGGUUGUAGCAUUUUUUUCCCACAUAUAUAAAGCCAACCCAGCUCCACAUAUUUCUACACCGUCUAUCCAUACGUUCACCUGGCAAUCGCUUUAGCCAACUUUUGGAGUUACUUGACACCGCUGGUUGCCGAUCACCGCCUGCUGCAUGGUAAGACAUUGUAAGACAUUGAUAUUUGUUUUACUGUGAGCGUUUUACUACCACAUCCUAGUAGUUAUAGGAACAUUAUUUUUGGAUUUUGUUUCUUGUUUCUACUAAUCAUGACAGGAUCUAGAGUCAAUCCAUGGGUUUUGUCGAUCGCGGGAGACGUGCCACCACCUAUGCAAAUUCCACAACGAUCACGAGAGGUGCAUAAACAUCCAAAUGCACAUGAUCAGGUUAAUGUUUCUAUACCAUCAUUUAAUGGCCGUUUUAGACCUGCUUUAUAUAUUGAAUGGGAGUUCGACAUAAAUAUUAUAUUUGCUUCCCAUAAUUUUGAUGAAUGUAAAAAAGUUAAGGUUGCGGUUGGUUCUUUCACUGGUUAUGCUUUAGUUUGGUGGAGUGAAUAUUGUCGGUUACACCCUGAUUAUAUACCUAUUACUUGGGAUGUUUUGAAACUUGCCAUGCGACAUACAUUCGUCCCCGCUUAUUAUACUCGUGACAUGAUUAAAAAGUUGCAACAUUUAAAACAAGGUAGUGACACUGUAACGAAAUAUUAUGAUACUUUACAAACUACCUUGUUGCAUUCCUCUUUAGAAGAAAGUGAAGAAGAUUUUAUGGAUAGAUUUUGGGGAGGAUUAAACCGUGACAUUCAGGAGAUACUAAUUCAUGAAACAUGUUAUCCUAUGGACCGUUUGUUUCGUCUUGCUUGCAAAGCUGAACAGGAGAUAACAAGACGUGUUGCCCACAAGAUAAACAAGCGGAAGGUGCAAAUCCCACGAGUUGCGACGGUUGUUCCUUCCACCACUGCGUCUCCUAUGGCAACAACAUCCAUUGUUGAGAGCACUACAUCACCUCCACCAUGUGACGUGUCGCCACCUAGAGUGCCUACAUCAUCUUUGUUGAUCAUCAGAGGUAAUGACAAAGGUACCGAUCUUCCACCUCCACAUGAGUAUGAUGAAUUCCUUGUCAAUUUAAAUGAACCAUGCGAUGAGCUACCCACUACUUUGAUCACACCAGCUAUUUUAGAGGACUAUGUUCAUGAUUUGACUUUGCCAUGUGAUCAAACAAUUUUGAGUGAACCCAUUGAAUUAACUAUUGAUGCAAAAGAACCAUGUGAAUCAGUGAAAAGAUCAGAUUUGGAUCAAAUACGUUUGAAAAUAGUUGUGCCAAUGUUUAAUCAUUUUGAUAUGACCUCUAAUCUUGGUGAUGGUUCAUCAUGGUUGGGAUGGUUUAAUGAUGAGCAUUGCCAAUCUUUUAUUAUGAAUAAGAGCUUCACUUAUAUGUGCAAACUGAGUUGCAAUAUUUUCAUGCCUUUGACUUCUUGUGAUAAUAUAUUGGCUUUAUUUUUCACGACUUUUGAAGGGUGCUCUUGUAUAACUGUGUCACAUGUGCCACAACUAAGAUCAGUUAAAAUGGAUGACAUAUACAUAUACAACGUGUACACCUUGUCUCUAUUGUUAGCCAUAUUUCAGAUUAAGCAACGCCGAGGACGGCUUUGUUUUCAAGAAGGGGAGGAUGAUGAGGACAUGGCUACCAUAGUUACACCCAUAUCCCCUGUUGUUUUACCUCUUGGAACAGUUGCUAGAGCUCAGAUACGCCAAUUAAAUUAUCAGGUACUUUCGUUUCUUGGUAAUGUUUCUAGUGUUCAUGAGAAUAUGAUGCUGCCUAACUUAGAUACAUUUGUGUUGCUUGCAAUUGAAGGGCCUAGCACGGACAAGAAGGAUGAACAUUGGAGCAUGGUCAAGCACGAAGAUGAAGGUGCGUGCAAAGAGAACAAGAACGGAGGUUCAAGUGGAGAUUUCCGGACUUUGAAGCCACCAUGAUGACAUACAAGAAGAUGGACAAAAUAUACAAGAUGGCCUUUCAUAAAUUUCCUCCGUAGCUUAUUAUUGGUGUUGCGCCACCUUAUUUUGGGCCAGGCCCAUGUAAUCUAUUUUUAGAGUCCAUAUUAUAGGGGAAAGGACUUAGGAGGUGUUUUAGUCCCACCUUGCCAAGGGUGGACAAAAUCCCCUCUCUUUUCCCUAUAUAUAUAGCCCUUAAGGCUUCGUUUAGACUUGGGGAUUUGUUUAGUUAAAAGUUAGCCAUUGCAACUUCGUGUACUUCGUUUGUG